rnacentral:lncRNA from 1 species
CUUCUCCUUCGGGUGAUUAUAGUUUCUUUCUUUAUCAAUGGGCUUUUGCUAUAGCCGCUGCCGGGAUUACCAGCGGGUCCAUAGCUGAAAGAACCCAAUUCGUGGCUUAUCUUAUGUACUCUUCCUUUUCAACCGGCUUCGUUUACCCCAUAGUUUCACAUUGGUUUUGGUCGGGUGACGGGUGGGCCAGUGCGACCCGAUCAGAAAACCUUUUGUUCGGUUCGGGUGUGAUUGACUUUGCGGGUUCGGGUGUGGUUCACAUGGUUGGUGGCAUUGCUGGCUUAUGGGGUGCGUUGAUUGAGGGUCCGAGGUUUGGCAGGUUCGAUCGGGCUGGUCGCUCCGUGGCGUUACGCGGGCAUAGUGCCUCGCUAGUAGUUCUGGGGACGUUCCUUUUGUGGUUCGGGUGGUACGGGUUUAACCCGGGUUCGUUUUUGACCAUCGCGAAAGGGUAUGGUGGGGGUGGGGGUUAUUAUGGGCAAUGGAGUGCUAUAGGGAGGACAGCUGUCACGACGACAAUGGCUGGGUGCACAGCUGGCCUUACAACCUUGUUUAGUAAAAGGUUAUUAGUUAGUAAUUGGAGUGUUAUCGAUGUUUGCAAUGGUUUGCUAGGGGGCUUUGCUGCAAUUACCUCAGGGUGUUCAGUAGUAGAACCAUGGGCUGCAAUCAUAUGUGGCUUUGUGGCCGCAUGGGUUCUAAUUGGAUUCAACAUUCUUGCAUCCAAAUGGAAGUAUGACGACCCACUAGAGGCAGCCCAAUUACAUGGGGGGUGUGGCGCGUGGGGUUUACUCUUCACCGGAUUGUUUGCAACAGAGGCAUACGUCAACGAGGUGUAUCCGGGCCGGCCGGGGCGCCCGUACGGAUUGUUCAUGGGUGGUGGAGGGAAGCUGCUAGGGGCACAAAUCUUUCAAAUUUUGGUCAUAGCAGGGUGGGUCACGGCCACAAUGGGGCCACUCUUUUAUGUGCUACACAAAAUGAAGUUGUUAAGGAUUUCCGAGAAUGAUGAAACUGCUGGGAUGGACUUGACUAGGCAUGGGGGAUUUGCUUAUGCAUACCAUGAUGCGGAGGAUCUUUCCCUGACGCCAGGGUUCAUGAUGACCAAAAUUGAACCUACUAAUAGAAGUCCUUCAGGGUCAAACAACACCCUCCAAUGUAUGAAUCAAAUUUAGCGGUUCGUCCCUUGAAAUUGUAUACCUUAAUUAAUGUCUGUUAUAUACAAAGUACAUAAGAUAAUGGGUAGAAUACAUAACUUUUUCAAUUUUUGAUUAUAAUAAUAUACGAGUCUAUUAAUUUUUUCAAAAUAAAUAUUAUUUUUUAAAUAUGUAAAUAGUAUUAAUAUUUCAAUAUAAAAUAUCUAAAAUAUUUUUUUUAUUUUUUUUAUUCUUUCUUUUUCUCUCAAGCCGGUUGGUGACAUUCCCUUAUACCAGUAUUCCAUGGUUAGAUCCGAUCGGAUCUCUUUGGGCUUUCUUCAACAAUAUUGUCGUUCGUGGGUAGUUGGAUGGGAUGGAAAGAAUAUUUUUUUGAAAAAAAAAAGAGCUUAAAAUAAAAAAUUAUAAUAUAUAUAAUGAUAAUUUUUAAAAUUAAUGAGAGGUAAAAUUAUCAUAAAAAUAUUAUCAUGUCGUCAGAUUAAUAAAAAUAUUAACGAUUAACUAAUGGUAAGAUUUAUGUGGAUUAAAAAUUAAUGAACUCGUUUGUAAUUAUGAUAAAAAAAGAAAAGGGUAGACGCAUCCUUCUUCUUUGAAAAGGAAAUUAUCAUAAUCUUUGAUUAACCUGUUUUCUAGAAACCAGAUCAGUUAGGUUCCACCAACAUGUAUUAAAGUUGGAAUAUGGUUUUGUCUAGACACAUUUGCACAAUUAUAAACUGGAGACGAAUUUACUUCUGGGAAAGAGAUUGGUUUCAUGCUUUCCUUUUUGAGUUCCAGAGAAAAUACUACUGGGAACUUGGACAAGGAAAGGAACCAAAAAUGACCAUACAAAAAGAAAGCAAAGAACAUCACAAGACAGCCAAUAUUAUAGAUUUGGAUUAUGAAGUUCCUUACACAGCAAUGGCAAAAAUUUUAAGAAAAAAAGAAGUUUCUUAGACAGCCUGUCUAACUGAAAAGGAAAGAUAAAUGGAAGGCCAUCAGUCCAUUCUGUUCAUCAGAAGGAACUGUUCAUCAGGUAGAUGGCAUCCCUCCACCUGUUCUAGGAUGUAUCUUCAAUCAAAUGCACCUGAAGUGAUUACCAAACACAAGUUUUUUCCAAUUGCAGUUUGGAGACCUUCAGCUUGAGGUAACAUCUGAGAAAGCCAACAUAUGAGCUGCAAUAGGUUUAGUUUUCGGGUAAAUAUCUCAUUUACACUGUGAUUUCUCUUUUCUACAUUUAUUUAUGACAACAAAUCAUAUAAUAAUGUAUAUAACAGCUCUUAAUCUUUAAAAUAUAGAAUUCUUUCAUGGCAAAUAGCUCAGGGAAUCCAAAGCAUUCCAGAGAGUUCAUUGGAAUUUGCAAAUGACAAAGCUCUGCUUCUAGCUAAGGUGCUUAAAAAUGGAGUCUCUGAUUCCAUUGGAACUUGUUCUCUCGCAUAACCUGUGCCCAUAGUUGGAUACUAAAACUUGAACCUUUUUUGAUGCAGUCUUUAAGGGGAGCACUGCUUACACUUUUCUAUUUAUCCACAUUCUUGUCUGCUCUCACCAUUAUAGGCCUUGUCUUACUUGGAAGACAACUAAAGUCUGAGGAAAAGUGACCUUGGAGCUGUGUUGCCUCAAUUUUGCUUAAAAGUUGGCUUAGAUUAGAUUCUUCUUAGACAACUACAACCUGCAGCUUUGAUAAUCAAUAAUCAAGAACAGUAUGGAAGUAAGGCUGCUGUCCGUCUGUGACUUCAGAAAGUACAAAAAUUUUGUGAUUAUGAAAAUGUAGUUAUGUCUUUUACUUAGCAGAUCCCAACUUGUUUCAGAUUAAGGCUUAGCUGAGUUGAGCUCAGCUGUCAUCUGGUUCUCUCUUUUGGUUCUUUGGAACAAGAGAAGAUUGAUAAUUCAUCUGACUGCAAGCUUAUUCUUAUGUUUCCUUCCUUCUUUUUUUUUUUUUUUUUUUUGUUUUUCCAUGGAGAAACCAAUCAGCUGACUUCUUGUAAAUGAAUAAGACAAAUUGACACUGCUGAUGUACAAUUUAUACACUUCCAAGUUUGGGGAAAAGCUCCACCUUGAAUGACAUAAAGAGAUGAAGUGAACUGCUGGAAUCUACAUAUGAAUAGGUAUUGGUAUCUAAGCUGUCUAUGGUUUUCAGAGUUGAUAUUGAGAUGUUAGAAGUUCUGCAAAUUUAAAGAAAACCGUCUCUUUUUAAGUCUCACUCUCACAUUUCUAUGAAGGACUUUCAAGUAGAAAACAUGCUUGUCUCAGUUGAGGAUUUCACAAUUAUCAAAUGUUCUGAAAGAAAUUAGGAGAUAAUUAGGAGAUUUAAAAUAUCUCAACUCUCAAUUUGCCAUGGCUUUCUCAUAACUUAUGAUGGUUGGUAUGUGCUUUGAAAGAUUUCAUUUUAGAUAUAUAUAAGGUGAUCAGAGGAACUAUCAUGUUGUGCAUAGAAGCCUAGUGCUUUAGGAGUCAAUCUAUGUUUUCCACUCUCUUGCACUUAAGGUUGUUGCAUUCACUGGUUAAAUGGUUUAAAUCAGCCAAAACAAGGUUUGCACAAAGGGAGGCAAAUGGAUCUUUCUUGCAGGUGCCUUCAAGCUAUAGUUGACCUCUUCUCUAGUCACAGGUACACCAUCUGCUUCCAAAAGGCAAAGACGAGUGCAUCAGAGAUUGUAAAGCAGACUUUUCCCUGGCACAAGCAAGCAGUAUUGAUAGUUGACUCUGCAUAGCAUAAUUGAAUGAUUAAUUCUGCUUCCUGUUACUCAAAGCAUAUUUUGCUUACUGUGUCAAUGUUGACAGGAAAAUGACAUGCCGCGGCGACUUGGUUAUAAAGCAAUGUUUUUGACAUUACCUUCAUCUCAAUUAUUCAGAAAGUUAAGAUUCUUCAACUCAUGAAUUGUGAUGAAGUCAUUCAUAUCAAGGUAAUUGCCAAUAAUGCUCUUAUCACUCUUGGUUUUAGGUAACUUAUAUUGAAUAAUUGAAGCUUUGGUUGUCAGUUUCCUAUUGCUGGUGCAAAUCUGUUGCAUAGUCACACUCUGUGGCAACUUGUCGAUGCAUGGAAAUCUGUGGCGUGAUGCAAUCUGUUUUGAGUUAUAAAAUUUUAGAUUCUUCAGCUUGUGAAGAGGCCAUCCGACUCUAACAGUGAAGCCAAAGGACCAAAAAUGCUGUCACAAUCUGGUGAGGCAUAACCAUGGUUUUAUGCACACCUUCUUGCUUAAUUAAUUGAGGUUAUGACAUCAAUGAUCACAUAAUUAUGGUUAAGAAAACACUAAUCACAACAUUAACUUAUUGGUUUGAGACUUUUGAGGCAUGGAGUGACUGCAAGUUCACCGAGAAGCCAUGCCCUUCGCUUGCUUCUGGUGCUCACCGGGAUUAAAUUAAUCACUAAAGGUUGCAUCUAACAUAUCACUUUCACUGUUUGUGUUUUUUAUAAAUGAAUCUUUCUUCAAUUAUGGUGGCUCCCUAUGAAGAACCUUUGAUUGAAAACUUUUGUUUUCUUGAAAUGUAUGGUGAAGUGUUGCCAAAUAAAAUAUAGACUUUUAAUUGCCACAUGCAACCUCAAUGAUUUGCUGCCUCACAAAUUGAAUAAUGAUAUUAGAGGGUCAAUUACUGACAAACAAAUAGAUUAAACAUAUAUUCAUCCAAUACAAUUUUCAUACUUAAGUCAGCAGCUUAAAAAACUAAUUGAAGUACAUCUGAAAAGGGAGCAGGGAUCUUCAAAUCCAACCAAUUUUGAUGCAAUACCCUAAGAUUAAAUAAUCAUGGGAUCCAUUUUGCACUUUUGAUUAGAAGCUAGUGACUGUGGUUGGUAAUGGAUUCCUCCAAUGGCACGUGUGCUGAUGGUACAAUUGAAGGGUUUUUUUUAUUCAGAUUUGGAAUCAAAACCAGAGAUUCUUUGUAUCUUGGACAGAACUAAAUCAUCGAUGAACAACUUUGCUUUGUAUUAUAAUUGCAGUUAGGGUGCAAAAUCACUUUCACAAGCUACAUGAUCUAAAUAAUAUAAUUUAGAAAAGAAAAACCAUAAUAAAAAAUUGCCCUUUUCCACUCAAAUCUCAAUUUUUAUUAAAAUUUUUGAAUCUGCUCUGUAUUGAUUCUGCCAUAUGAAAAAAGUCCAUACUAGUAUUAAUGCAUCAGAUUGGACGAGAAUAAGGUAAUCUUUUGAGUUAAAAUAAAAUUUUAAUAUGUUUAUAUUUAUUUAUAUAGAAUAUUGGAAAUAUAACAAGGGUGUCAACGAUGUUGUCUUGGCUUUGACAAAAAAACCAAGAGUUAAAUUCUACUGCAAUUAAUUGCUUUUUUGGCCUCAGACAUAUGGUUAUCUAAUUCUACUAUACAAUACUAAAUCAACAGGGAUGGAUUUUCGCUUUUUCUCUAUUAACAAAUAGACUCUUAAUAAUUAAUAAGGAAAUACACAAGCAUUUCAUGUUUAUUACGAGGUAUUCUUAUGGAGAUUUAGAUUUCUAAUUACUCUAAUUAGGUAAGGGUUUUCUUUUUUCUUCGAGAAAAAUUAAAGGCAAGACCUAGCUUUUAAUUUUUGUUAGCCUAAUUAACUGGCUUUUAAAAUGCUUUAAUAAUAAUAAUUGGACUUUUCCAGAUAUUUUUCCUAGUUGAAUAAUAUAUUGUUUUCCUUGGUUGGACUUUUAGAUUAAUGGCCCUGAAAUUAAAAAAUGUUCACAAAACCUUUACAUUGUACAAUAUGAAUCUUAAACCAAUCAAAAUAAAUAAAUUAAGCUAACAACAUUGACUUACGAAUUUUGCAUAUAUAUAAAAAAGAAAGUUUUGACCCAAAUGGUUACAGAUAUAGCCAUCCAUCUCCAUCAUAUGCGUCAUAUAAAGUUAAUUGUAAACAAUUGUUUCCAUUGUUUAAUUAAAUAAAAGAUUAAUUAAUUUCUUAAUUAUUGGUGACAGAAACAAAGCACGCCAUUUACCCCAAAACUGAUUACUCUGGGUUAAUUAACUCCGAGCUCGGGAAUAGAGAUUAAUUAAUUCGAGUGGACCAAAUUUGCUUUUAAUCUGGAGUUCCUUUACAUGUAAUGGUAAUUAGGUACAAAAUUUAAACUUGAUUUUUCUCAUAAUAGUUAUAUAUGGUCUUAAAUCAAAAUUUUUGAACACUUGUGGUUCUGAUAUGAAUCUUUUAGAACAUUAUAACUUAAUUAUGGAUAAAAAGAAUUGCUGUCACGAGAGGGUGAGGGGAUAGCAGCUCCUCCCACUUGGGGGCGGUCUCUGUUUUCUUUACCUCUUUAUUAUUCUCUUGAAAACUGGUUGCUGAACAAAUUGGCACCACUUGAUUCUCAUUUUAUCUCGUUCACACAUACACCUGUUCAUUCUUUUAACUUCCUUUCACUGUCUAUAUAAUCCCCCCUUGGCGGCCCUCUCUCUUUCCAUCCCCUCCUCCUCUUUCAUUUUUCCACCAUGGCUUCCCUCACUUGUACAGCCUCUGACCUCGUCCCCCUCCUCUCCUCUUCCUCCUCCACCAAUGCAACCGCCCUCGCCUCCUUCCUUUGCACUCGUUUUUCCACCAUCUCCGACCAGCUCUCAGACGCCACUCACGCCAUUGACAACACUUACCUCCUCUUCUCCGCCUACCUAGUCUUCGCCAUGCAACUCGGCUUUGCCAUGCUCUGCGCUGGCUCAGUCAGAGCUAAGAACACCAUGAACAUCAUGUUGACGAACGUCCUUGACGCAGCUGCUGGUGCACUGUCUUAUUACCUCUUUGGUUUUGCCUUUGCCUUCGGUUCACCUUCUAAUGGUUUCAUAGGACGCCACUUCUUUGGACUUAAAACUUACCCUUCUCCUUCGGGUGAUUAUAGUUUCUUUCUUUAUCAAUGGGCUUUUGCUAUAGCUGCUGCCGGGAUUACCAGCGGGUCCAUAGCUGAAAGAACCCAAUUCGUAGCUUACCUUAUUUACUCUUCCUUUUUAACCGGCUUCGUUUACCCCAUAGUUUCACAUUGGUUUUGGUCGGGUGACGGGUGGGCCAGUGCGACCCGAUCCGAAAACCUUUUGUUCGGUUCGGGUGUGAUUGACUUUGCGGGUUCGGGUGUGGUUCACAUGGUUGGUGGCAUUGCUGGCUUAUGGGGUGCGUUGAUUGAGGGUCCGAGGCUUGGCAGGUUCGAUCGGGCUGGUCGCUCCGUGGCGUUACGCGGGCAUAGUGCCUCGCUAGUAGUUCUGGGGACGUUCCUUUUGUGGUUCGGGUGGUACGGGUUUAACCCGGGUUCCUUUUUGACCAUCGCGAAAGGGUAUGGUGGGGGUGGGGGCUAUUAUGGGCAAUGGAGUGCUAUAGGGAGGACAGCUGUCACGACGACAAUGGCUGGGUGCACAGCUGCCCUUACAACCUUGUUUAGUAAAAGGCUAUUAGUUGGUCAUUGGAAUGUAAUCGAUGUUUGCAAUGGUUUGCUAGGGGGCUUUGCUGCAAUUACCUCAGGGUGUUCAGUAGUAGAACCAUGGGCUGCAAUCAUAUGUGGCUUUGUGGCAGCAUGGGUUCUAAUUGGAUUCAACAUUCUUGCAUCCAAAUUGAAAUAUGACGACCCACUAGAGGCAGCCCAAUUACAUGGGGGGUGCGGCGCGUGGGGUUUACUCUUCACCGGAUUGUUUGCAACGGAGGCAUAUGUUAACGAGGUGUAUCCGGGGCGGCCGGGCCGCCCAUACGGGUUGUUCAUGGGUGGUGGAGGGAAGCUGCUAGGGGCACAACUGAUUCAAAUUUUGGUCAUAGCAGGGUGGGUCACGGCCACAAUGGGGCCACUCUUUUAUGUGCUUCACAAAAUGAAGCUGUUAAGGAUUUCGGAGAAUGAUGAAACUGCUGGGAUGGACUUGACUAGGCAUGGGGGAUUUGCUUAUGCGUAUCAUGAUGAAGAGGAUCUUUCCCUGACGCCAGGGUUCAUGAUGACCAAAAUUGAACCUACUAAUGGAAGUCCAUCAGAGGGUCAAACAUCACCCUCCAAUGUAUGAAUCAAAUUUAGUGGUUUGCCCCUUGUAAUUGUAACCCUUAAUUAAUGUGUGUUAUAUACAAAGUAUAUAAAAUAAUCACUCAACUUUAGACACAUCGCUUUUUCUUGGAAAGGAAAUGAUCAUAAUCUUUGAUAUUUAACUUGUUUUCUAGAUAACCAGAUCAGUUAGGUUCCACCAACAUGUGUUAAAAGUUGGAAUAUGGUUUUGUCAAAGACCUAAAUUACUGAACUUUAGACACAUUUGCACAAUUAUAAACUGGACAUGAAUAUACCUCUGGGAAAGAGAAUAGUUUCAUGCUCUUCUUUUUGAGUUCCAGAGAAAAUAUUACUGGGAACUUGGACAAGGAAAGGAACCAAAAAUGACCAUACAAACAGAAAGCAAAGAACAUCACAAGACAGCCAAUAUUAUAGAUUUGGAUCAUGAAGUUCCUUAAGCAGCAAUGGCAAAAAUUUUAAGAAAAAAAAGUUUCAUAGACAGCCUGUCUAACAGAAAAGGUAAGAUAAAUGUAAGCCCAUCAGUCCAUUCUGUUCAUCAGAAGGAACUGAUUCCACAAAUAUAGACCGUAGGGAGAAUCAAUGCUUGAUUUGGGCAACUUGUAUGUUUAUGAGACCUAGUGACCAAAAGGUUUAAAUAGCCAUAUAAGCAAGUUGGAGGGAGGUGAUUUGAAUGUAUCCAUUGAAAGUACUGAUAUACAAACUUUCCAAGAAGGAAGGAAAUAAAUGGCUAAAGUCUUUGAACUAUGUAUACAUACAUUAACUUUGAUCCAUGAAAUCCAAGUUGUACUAAUAAUUAACCCGUACUUCAAAUCUUUUUUGCCAGUUUCCUUUGAUCUUUAUAGUCAAAAGUCCAAUGGUAUAUAGUUGAUUUAAUGCCCCUAUUCUCUGCUCUCAAUCACUAGCUUUCUCCAUCCAACAUUUUCUUUUCGGCUCACAGGAUUCUGCUAGCCUCCCCCAAAUAAAGAGGCCCAUCUGUGGCAUUCAAGUUACUAACCUAUAUGCCCAUGAUGCCAACUAUAUAUCCAUUGUGUUCCCCUAAGAGAUCAUUGCUUGUCAAAGAAUUUAUUCCCAUGCCAAUAAAAUUGAUGGUGCCAAAUUUCUUGCUUUAUAUUAUCUCAGUAAAAACAUUUUUCUCCAAGUUUCUCCCCCUUGAUAUUUUUAAGAUAGUUAAUGCCUUCAUUUCAUUGUUGUUUCCUUUUGUUUUGCAUAUUUUCUUGGUCUGCUAAGCCAUGUUGAUGGAAAGUGGUCGGAAGGUUUCCUCUUAGUUAGAAAAAGAAAUAGAGCACUUCAUACUUAAAACCAAUGGAAACAGACAGAUACCUAGUAACCAAAUUGGGGUUUCAGAGAAUGAUUGCUUUAAAACUAUGUUAUUUUAAGUAGGAUUGCCAACUCCAUGUUACUUUAAUUAGCUUGCCAAGAAGAAUUUUGCCCCUUCUUAUACUGGAGUCCUAACUGACCGUAUAGACAACAUGACAUAUCCUGCCAAAGAACUAGUUGUGUCCCCAAAUGUAAAUGCCCUAAACCCCCUUCCAACCCUAUUGGAAAAUCCUUUUUUAAUCUUGAAAAUGGACCAAAGAAGACCCAUAGUUUGUCACUGUUAACUGGUCAGAAGCUAGAGCAUGACUGUAUUGAUCAUCAGCUAGCUCCUCAGUGAUAGGAUUUAUGAGGUUAUAAAUAGUUUCACUAAGAUCCUCGUAUUUGAGUUUGUCCCCACAAAAAAAUUGUCCUCACAAAAUGCUUCCAUUGACUGAAGCAUAGGAGAAUUAUUUGUGUCUCCAUGUUUGUUUGUUUUUUUCCAUUGUCCAGCCGAGAUUAGCAGGCCUUUUACAACUCCCAGAGUUGAGUGGCCCAAAGUGCUUGAAAAUGCAAUUUGUGACCCUAUCUUUCUUUUCUUUGUUCUGUUUUUUUUUUUGGCAGAAGAAAGGUUUGUGUGAUUAUUAGCCUUUGUCUCUAUGGUCAUUGCAGAAUUUGUUAUGAACCAGCAAUCAAUGUUGUCACAUCUAGCUUGUGCCAAUUGCAAGAACAAUUUUUCUUUAUGUUUGAGAUUUUUUAUCUUUACUACAUUGUCAGUUUGCCCUGUUGUGAGAACAUUAAUGGUCAAAGUUUUGAUCUAUCAAUCAACCUGUCACUGAAACAUCCAAUAUGUUGUUAUUUGGAAUUUGAAGCCACCUAUCAUGAUCUUAACUUAAAUGGUGAAAGAUGACCAUAUAUAACUUCAAAGGCACACUAUUGUCUGUGAAAUAACUUUUUUGUUAAUGGAAAGCUUUUUGUGCAAGAAGAUAACAAUGAUGGUACGUUUGGUUGGCGGAAUAAACAGGAAUAGAAUAGAAUAGUUAUUAUGUGGGAAUAGAAUGAGGUGGGAAUAGAAUAGAAUAGUUAUUAUUUAGUUUGGUAUGAUGAAUGGAAUAGAGUAUGAAUAAUUAUUAUAACUUAUUGUAGUGUUUGGUUGUUAACAAUAAUUUUGGAAUAAGAAAGUAAUAGAAAAUAAAAAGAUAAAAACAUCUUUUAUUAUUUAUGUGACAUUUUAUUUUUAUUAUAUUUUUAAAAAAAUAUAAUAAUNNNNNNNNNNNNNNNNNNNNNNNNNNNNNNNNNUUUAUUUUAAUUUUAUUUUUAAAAUAUUAAUAAUUGAUAAUUUAUUUAAAAUAUUAAUAAUAAAUAAAUUUAAAUAUUAAUAUUAUUUAAUUUAAAUUUUAUUAUGAUUAAUUUUUUAUUUUAUUUUAUUUUUAAAUAUAAUAAUUGGUAAUUUAUUUAAAUAUUAAUAAUUGAUGAUUUAAUUAUUAAUAUUGUUUAUCUAAUUUAAAUGAUAUUAUGUUUAUUUAUUUUUAAUUUAUUUUGUUUUUAAAUAGGAAUAAUUUAUAAUUUAUUUUAUUAAUAAUUUGAAAUUUUAAUAUUAAUAUUUUAUUUAUAAUUUUAAUGAUUAAUAUUUUAUUAAAAAUUGGAAUCAAGGGAGAGAAAGAGGAGAGAGAGAAAAAUAAUAUUUUAUACUAAUAAAGUUGUAAAUUUUUAAACUUGUAAGGGGUAUUUUUGUCUUUAUUAAUUUUUAAAUUUAUUCUUCAACCAUGGAAUAGCUAAUACCAUGGGGAGGGUGGUAUUAGCUAUUCCUUGGUUUUGAAAGAUUUUGAAGAAUAGCCAUUCCAUAAGAAUGGCUAUUCCUUGGAUCAUUUUCCAACCAAACAAAGGAAUAAAAAUUCCUUGGGAAUAAAGGGGGAAUGGCUUAGCCAUUCCCCCAACCAAACAUGCUAUGAGUUAUUUACCUGUCUUACAUAGGAGAGAAAUUAUCAUGUAUAAACAUUAUCGCGUAAUAUAAAAAUUAUAAUAAUUCAUAUUUUACAUAAUGUAUUAAAUUUUGUUAAUUUAUCGAUUAAAUAAUGUCUUCUUUUAAAUUGUACACUAGUGAUAAAUUUCGAUAAUCACUUUUACAUAUAUUAAUAUGAUUUAUUGUGUGAAUCAUGUUACGAAAAACAAGAGAGUAUUUAUGAAAUAAAUAUAAAAAUAUAAUCUCCAUUUAAAAUUCAUGUUUCUACAACACCAAAUUAAGGCUUGAGACGUGAAACAGUUUAUCAGACGAGCUAGGUGGCAAGAAAUCCUUUGUAUUAGUUUGUAUGAAAUCGACACAUGUUCUAUGAUUGUUCCCUUACUCUCCCAAUUUCUUUGGCACAUAAACCGUUCCUCUUUUACUUUUACCACAAUUAUCAACCAUCCAAGUUCCAACAUUGUUUCAAUGGAAAUUCUCACAGAAAUCUUCUAAUUUGUUUACCAUUUGUCAGUGUUUUCUCCUCUGGAAAGAUCAGUUGCCAUAUUGAUCACACAUGAUGGAACAUUUCAAUUUCUAUACAACUUUUCUCCAUCACCCUCUACUCCAACUCUUAUAUGCAUUAUUAUUCAUUUUGUCAAGCAUCCCAGUCUCCUUGUCUGAGAUCAAGAACACUUGGGUUUUCGAUGAUUACCGAUCUAUGAUCUUAUUUGAGAGCUUCGGAUUUAGCAAAAAUGGCCAUGUAGAAAUCUCAGUAAGGAAUGUUUCAUGGACAUCGAGGCAUCAAAAAACCCAACCCAACCCUUCCUCCAUGGGAUUUUUCAUUGCUAACAUCCAUUCAUUGCGAAGCAUUUGGAAUGAAUCAGAGUCCAGUGAAGGCUUUUGUGUAUUAUCGAGAAGGUAUGGCAAAGUCAUAUUCAAGUUCGAAAACCUUACUGCUGAUUCAACUUAUAGCGGUUCUAUAGAAAUCGAUGAUCCUGAUAAAUAUAGUUUGGUAUUCGGAAACUGUCAGCCAGAAUUCAGAGUGUCAAUGCAUGUCCAUACUGAAAUGUUUAACCUGAAAGAAGGUGAAAAGGAUUUCCUGCCUGCAGGCCAAACCCCAUUGCCAAAACUCUUUUUUUUCUUCUUUUUGAUAUACGCAGCAUUUCUCCUUAAUUGGGUUUUUGCCUGUAUCAAUCAGAAGCCUAGAGUUGAGAAGAUUCAUUUAAUAAUGGCCGCAUUGCUUCUAUUCAAGUGCCUUAAAAUGAUUUGUGCCUCUGAGGACAAAAUGUAUGUCAGGAAAACGGGCACUCCCCACGGAUGGGAUGUGGCAUUUUACAUUUUCGGAUUCUUCAAAGGAAUCAUGUUAUUCACUGUGAUAAUCCUGAUAGGAACAGGCUGGUCAUUCCUGAAACCUUACCUUCAGGAACGCGAAAAACAGGUUUUGAUGACAGUAAUCCCUUUACAGGUUCUUGAAAACAUAACUUACGUGGUUAUCAGUGAAACCGGGCCUGCAACAAGGGAUUGGAUGACUUGGAACCAACUCUUCUUGUUGAUCGACAUUGCUUGUUGCUGUGUAGUGUUUUUUCCAAUCAUUUGGUCAAUAAAAAGCUUGAGGGAAGCAUCCAAGACAGAUGGAAAAGCCGGUAAAAACCUGGAAAAGUUGACACUUUUCAAGCAGUUUUACAUAGUUGUGAUGGGAUAUUUGUACUUCACAAGAAUCAUGGUUUCAGCAGUCGGGGCAUUCCUGAAUUACAGAUUGGAGUGGAUGAUGACUGUUUUGGAAGAGGGUGCAAGCUUGGCUUUCUAUGUGUUUAUUUUCUAUAAUUUUCAGCCAAUGGAAAAAAACCCAUAUUUAGUGAUUAAUGAUGAGGAAGAGAAUGCAGCAGCUCAAAUGUUGGAAGAAGAUGACUCAUUUGAACUAUAGGGCUUCUUUUCACCUUUGAGAAUCCACAGUUCAGCAUGGGUUUGUAAUGUUAUGUACAAUUUUUCUUCUUCCUCAAAAGAAAAUCUGAAACUUUAUAUAUGAUUUCGUUAUUUCUCUUUUGAAAUUUAAAAAUAAAUUUAUUAUAUAAUUUGAACAAAAAUUUAAGUUUUCAUAUACUUUAAAAGUAUUAUCAUAAGAAAAUAAUUUAUAUAAUUUUACCAUUAUGUUACAGAAAAUGACAAAUGACAAGUAAUGAUUUAAUUAAUGAUAAUUAUAAUUAAAAAUUAAUUAUAAAAAUUUAUUUGAUUUAAAAUAAAAUAAAUAUAUUUAAUAAAAAAAUUUAGACAAUAACCUAUAAAAAGAAAUUAAGAAAUGAAUUAUCCAAACCAAUGGGGACUCAGCUUAUCCCCUUCCUUAAACUUGCAGCUCCACCUUUCACUUCACUCCCUCUUCUCAACCUUAACAAAACCUUAAACACCACCAGGUCUGCGAACACCAACAUCGUACGCUGCAGUUCCACUGGGUCCAGCCAGACAGGUGGACAGUUCAGAUUCGAUUCUCAGAACUCCGACGACGUUGAUGAUGAGUUCGAGUUCAGCAGCAGCCGGAAGCAGAGGAUCUGGUGGUCUGAUUUCGAUGAUUACGAUGAUGUCUGGGACCUUGAUGAGGAUGAUGAGUUCUGGGUUUUUAAGGUAGCUAAAAGUUAUGUGUAAAAUGAAGUUCUUUUAUUUAUUUUUUUAGUGAUUGAACUUUGUUGGGUCAUUGAGAAAAUUGAUUGAAUUUUAGUUGAGGAUUGAAAUUAGUAGUAAACGUAAGUAAAGGGGUAAGUUUUUAUGAUUGGGUUAAUUCUUUUGGUGUUGAGAAAUGAUGUGAAUUUGGGGGGGAGAAGGCCUAAGGUGUUAAACAUCUGAUUGAGAGAUAAAAAAUGAAGGUUUAGCCUUGAAAGCUACUUGUGGUAGUAAUGAGGAAAGUAGCUAUCAUGAAGGAGGAAAGGGUAUCCUCCUUUAAACUCUUUUUCUCUCUGUUUCUCAUUUUAUUGAUUUUCUGUUGGACAUGUUGAGUUUUCUGUAACUUUUGAUUCAAGAAUAAUUGAAAGUUGUUUCACAAUAAGGCUGCAAAGAAAGGGGAUGUGGGGAUAUUCUAGCAGAGUGCAAUCUUUCUCUGGCUGUUACAAAUACAUACAGAAAAAGAUUGCUAUAUGUAAAGUUGAUAGGAAGGAGCAAGCUUGCUGGCUGAAGUCUUUCUUAGCAUCAUCAGCAGUAUCAUAACGGGGUCAUCUAAUGAGUAGUAGUAAAUUUUAAAUGCCUCAACUAAUAUAAAGACGUAUUCAAAUUUGCUACUAUAAUUUCCAUCUUUCUUUGCAAAUGUGUAAAUUGUUUUUUCAGGGAAAAAGGUAAUAUUCUUGUCGUUUAUACAUUUUUGGUAGGACAUCAUAGCUUAUCUGGUUAUAUGAAUAAUUUAUCUUUCAGUUACUUUUCUAAUUUCUGACAUAUUUGGAGUAGUUAAAAUCUUAAAAUUAGUUGUAAUAUGUAUAUUCUUUAAUUCAUCAUAAACUAGCAGGCUUCAUAUGUUUACAUAUCGCAACUUCUUCAUGAUACUUAUAAUGUUGACUUCAUGCUUCUUGAUGAUGGCAAUUACUUACCUUAAAGAUGUUACAUGCAGGUAUUUAGAGCUUUUGGUUGGAUGGUACCGGCCAUUGCCAUAUCGUUGUUGCUGGGAUCAGGCCCGAAUGCUUUUAUCAUGGCAUUAGCAGUUCCACUAGGGCAGUCAGCGCUUUCCCUUGUGUUUGAUAAGGUUUCAAGAAGGACGAGUAAGAGAUGGAAAUCCACAUCCAGCCCCAAGGCCAAGAAGAAACAUUCUACAAGGGCUCCUAAAAGUGUGAGAACAAACAAGAGAAAACAAGAAGCAAAUAGGAAUGGUGGAGAGAAGGCAACUUAUAGCUCCUGGUUGAAUAUGGAUGGUGAUUUACAUGAUAAGGGUGCCAAGAGAGGCCCCAAGUUUGGUGGAUGGGAUCAACUGGAUGAUCAAGUGGAGACCCAAAAGAGGGCACCAAGUCAAAAGGGAAAUGGACUACCAAAGCAACAAAAGAAGGGUAAAUUUGGUAGGAUAGGGAGAGUCAGAGAUACACCCUUGCUGCUGAGGGUGUUGAUUGCCGUUUUUCCAUUCUUGGGCUCUUGGACUAGGUUCCUAUUUUGAUUUUCUGCCCACUAGAAAUUACACGGUCCCGUUAGAUGGAAAGAAGAAGCAUGAACUUUUCAUGUCUAUGUUGCUGCUGCUUAGACGCAUUAAGUGCUGAUUUGAUGCUGCAAGUAACUUUGGAAAGCAAAGUAAGAUAAGUCAGUAAUGUCUUCCAGUAACAUUUUCAUGCACAUAUCUUGCUUCGUAUCCUUUUAUGGGCCAUGUCCAAACUUGUUCUCCAUCUCCUAGCUAGAAGAUGAAACCUUAUAACCAUAUAUCGGCAGUAUAAUACACUUUCAUUUGUCUUCCUCCCCUCCCUUCGUUUUGGUGAGAAGAGUGGGGAACCCUGGGCGGGGAUAGGAGGUCUUCAAACGUAAUCAUUGGCUUCAAUAGCCAUUGACCCAUUCCUGCCUGAAUGUACAAGAGCAGGAGCUUCUUCUACAUGUAUUGACACUGAGUGGGCUCCUUCAAAUUUUCAUAUUGAAGUGCAUCUUCCUCUUCUAAACAGAGUCCUCUCUCCAGUCCACUGAUCUUUGGGCGCAGAAUCCAUAUAAACUUGUUUAAAAUCAGGUUGAGCAAACAACACUGCAAAAGGAUUAUGUUCUUGGGCUUCUUUACAUCUAUGGGUUCUGUCCUAGCUGAUGAUUCAUGAAUCAUGAUUGUAUAUAUGGGUUUGAGAAAAUAGAAAGAAGUGAUGAAAAUGAAGUCCAAAGUCCAAACAAGAGCCCACAAAUAAAAACUUCAAUUCAACUUGCUUUAUGUUUUUUCCCUCAAAAAGAGGUUUUUAUUUGUUUCAAAGGCAUAAUAACAUUGGAUGUGUAAGUAAAUCAAAUUAACAUUAAUACUCUAAUAUAGUUGCUUGCAAGGUUAAUAGGGCUUUCCAAUAAUUCUUAAAUGCAAAAAAAAAAAAACAAAAAAGAGUAAGAAAAUGGUACAUUUUUUGUCCAUCAUUUUAUUUUUGAAUAGAUAUAGAAAAAUAAUUAUUUUCGAUAUCGAAGUUUUAUUAGUCUAUACAUUAAAAUAAGUGUCGGACAAUAAAUAUCAUCAAAUUUAAUUGUACUAAAAGAAAAAGAAAAGAAAAUAAUAAAACUAACCCAAAAAUGUAAAGCCAAAUAAAAAGUAAAUAAGUGUGUAAAUAAGGAAUAAAAGAAAUGUAGUACUAAAAAACAAAAAGAAAGAAACAAUGUUCAGAAAUUAGGGAGUAGAAUUCACUGAAUAUAUAACUAUAUAAAUACCUUCCCUCCCUUUUCACAACCUCUCCUCCCUCCUCAUUACCAACAAAAGCAACUGCCAACGCACUCUGUCGCUCUCUCGCUCGCUCGCUCUCUCUCUCUCUCUCUAUCUGUCUUUUUCUGUCUUUGAUGCGCUUACUCUUUUCUUCCUCUCCAAACCCAAUCAAAACCCUCUUCCACCUCGCCCGAUCCCACCACCGAGUGUACUCAUCGCCACCUCCGCCACCUCGGAGAUCGUCAAAUCCAAUGGCGAUCCCUUCAAAGUCCGCCGUAGCCGCCGGUUUCCCCAGCGAAGAAGGUCUAGCGAGAAAGUUCUGGUUGGAGUUUCGAAGAGAGUCCUUGCUCUCUCUUUACUCUCCUUUUGCUCUGUGUUUAGCUUCUGGGACUCUCAAGAUCGACACUUUUCGUCAUUAUAUUGCCCAAGAUGUUCAUUUUCUCAAAGCCUUUGCUCAAGCGUGAGUCCUUUUUCUUUCUUCUUAUUUCUUUUGGUCCUUUUCAUGGAAUUUUCAGUCUGGGUUUUGGUCUCUUUCUAAUACUUCUUUCUAUUUGUUCAUUUCUUUUGGAGAAAUAGAAUCUUGGGGUUUCUUUAUUAUUAUUCUAGUUGCUAAAGUAGUGUACUUUAGGGGUGGAGGGUUGUUUAGGUGCAUUUUACUUUUUUGUUUCAUUUGUUUGCUUAUUUGGUAUUACUGGAUAGUUUCUUUGAGGGUGUGGAGAAGAGGAAAGGGAAUUGAAAUCUCAAUCUUGGAUUUUGCCCUUGGAGGCUGAUAUUUCCUUUCAAUGGUUAAUUGCUUGAGUAUCUUUAGGUUGCAUACACAGUUUAGUUAGAAGAAAAUGAAAAUGGAUCUUUUGAAUCAUGAAGAUCUUUUAUUUUUUAUUUUGUAAAAAAAGAAACAUCUAAAAUAUUUAUGAAUUGGUUAAUUUGCUAUAUUGAUACGAAUUAACUUGCUUUUGAAAUGUUUAGAAUUCUGAUUUUGACUUUUUACUCUUAUCUUUCUGAAGGUUUAUGUAGGAAAGGUUUGAUAAAUUUGCCCAUUGAGGAUCUGUUUAGUUGUAUUUAAUUCAAGAUUGAAUGAAAAUUGAAGAUUUUGCAUAUAGUUUUCAACUCAUUGGUAAUGUAGAAUUGGUGCAUUUGUCUGCAUUCUUGCUGAUAUUCUUGUUAAGGGAUAGCAUCAUGAAUUUUUCACCAUUUUGUUUGGUUGUGCAAAGUGAGCAUUUGGGAUUGUAGACAGGGAUCUUCUUUUCUGUGCAACGCUGCUGAUGUUUGAGCAUUGAAUUUCUGUUUUAGGAUUGAUAUAGCUAUUUUUCAACCCCUUCUAGUUAUUGGUUGCUGAGAAAGUGUAGGAAAAGAAGAUGAAUGAAGUUUUAAUUUCUAAGCGCCAUGUGGUUGCUUAAGUAAUUAUUCAGAUGUUUCUUUUCUUUUCUUUUUGUCAGCUUUCUCAGUAACCAAUUGGAGGGUUAUAUUGUUAUUAUUUGGGGAAAAAGUAAUUACGUUACUUGAGGUGAGUUUCAGUUUCCAGAAUUUAAAUUGACAUGUAGUGGUAGAUUAAAAAGGCAUAUCUAUAUUCCUUAGCUAGUUUUAAUUUGAAUUGGCUUGUGCUGUUUAUAUGUAGGUCCUUAAUGGUUUUGUGUUUCUUUCAAUCUGGAUUUCAGUUAUGAAUUGGCGGAAGACUGUGCAGAUGAUGAUGAUGCAAAGUUAGCAAUCUCGAAGUUAAGGAAGAGUGUCUUGGAUGAGCUAAAAAUGCAUGAUUCUUUUGUAAAGGUAUGAUAAAAGGAUUCUUCUUUUUUGUUGCUUAGUACAUGCUCAAUUGUUAGAAAAGCUAGAUCAAAAAAUAAAAUUGAAUUUUUCUUUGGUAUUGCUAUUGCUUGUAGAUUUAUAAAAUACUGUGUAGCCAAAUAGUUAAAACAGGACUUAUUAGGAAAAUAUUGGUGUCUAGAAGAUGUUAGCUUGGGUCAACUGGCAUAUGAUAUCAUCAUCUAAAAUAGAGAUUUAGUCGAGACAUUUUUACCAAGCAGUUUAGGUCAUGUCAGGCACUCAACAUCUAUUUUCUUAUUCAAUUUAUUAAUGACAUGAAAAGUCCAUUGCUUUGAUUUCAGUUUCAUUUACUGAUGAUAUAGAAGGCUAGCAAUGAAAUAUUUGGGCCUUUAGGUAGGUAGCAAGUUGCAAGUGAAGCAGGUUGGACGUUGAUAUGAUUAGGCCCAUAAAUCAUCACUCAGAGAAGUCUUGUAAAGAGAUUUGAGGAAAUAAUCAGACUUGUUUGAAUAGUUACUAUCUGCCUUGUUAUCCCUUUUACAAUACUAUGAAGCCUUAUACUCUCUAAAAUAGUUACUUAAUAAUUCAUAUUUUAUCUAUUUCUCCUUAGUUCUUGUCUUGUAAGGGUGUCCUCAUGGUUUGAAUGCUGGAGUUCUACAGGAGUGGAGUUCCGACAUUGUUAAAGAAAGCACUGUCAAUUCUGCGACUGUAAAGUACACAGAAUUCUUGCUGGCAACAGCUUCUGGGAAGGUUGAAGGGCUAAAAGCUGCGGGAAAACUCGCCACCCCAUUUGAGAAAACAAAAAUUGCAGCUUACACUCUAGGGGCCAUGACACCUUGCAUGGCGCUGUAUGCCUAUCUGGGUAAGGAGUUUAAGGCACUUCUAGGACCCAAUGAGCGAGAUCACCCAUACAAAAAGUGGAUUGAGAAUUAUUCUUCUGAAGGUUUUCAGGUAUAGCAUUGAUUGCAUUAAUUGUUUCCAGGGGUCAACUUGAUUUUACUAUACUUAUUACAGUCUUGGAGGAAAAAAUCACUACAUAAAAAGGCCUUUUAACUCCCUCGGCUUAACUGUUCCACUCUUUGAAUUUAGGCAUCAUCUCUGCAAACCGAAGACUUGCUGGAUAAACUUAGUGUCUCAUUGACAGGCGAGGAACUAGACAUCAUUGAGAAGCUUUAUCACCAAGCCAUGAAACUUGAAAUAGAGUUCUUCUAUGCUCAACCGCUUACUCAGCCCACUGUUGCUCCUCUGACUAGGGAGCAUGACCCUGCACAAGAUCGUCUUAUGAUAUUUUCUGACUUCGAUCUUACUUGCACAGUUGUUGAUUCAUCUGCCAUUUUGGCGGAGAUAGCAAUACUAAGAGCCCCAAAAUCUGAUCAGAACCAACCGGAAAGUCAAAUUGCUAGGAUGUCGUCGCCUGAGCUGAGGAGCACAUGGAGUCUACUUUCUGGUCAAUACACAGAAGAGUAUGAACAAUGCAUAGAAAGCAUUUUACCGUCUGAGAAAGGUAGAGCAACAUACAAGAAUGACAUUUUAAAGUUUUAACAUUAUAUGUUUAAUCUUCGAAAAGAUGUCAUUAACAUAUCAACUAGUUCCUUUGACAUUGUUUUUUACUUCCUGUGGUUUUACAGUGGAGUUCAACUAUGAAGCUCUGCAUAAAGCUCUUGAGCAACUCUCAGACUUUGAGAAAAAGGCGAAUUCUAGGGUGAUUGAGUCAGGUGUACUUAAGGGUCUAAAUCUUGAAGACAUUAAACGAGCUGGUGAACUUCUGAUUCUUCAAAGUGGUUGCAUUGAUUUCUUUCAGAAAAUCAUAAAGAAUGAAAAUCUUAAUGCCAAUAUCCAUGUGCUUUCUUAUUGUUGGUGUGCUGAUCUCAUCAGGGCUGCAUUUUCUUCAGGUAUGGUCUUUCCCUCCUAGCAUUACAUAAUAAGUAUGUGAAUAGCUUUCCUUCCAUCAUCUUCUACUUCUAACUUAUCAGUUGCUUUGAGUGCACUCUUGAGUGUUGUGUGAUUUAAUGAUUUCAUGUCUGUGGAGAAACUGAAUGUCUGAAUACAUCCCCAUUCCUCAACCCCCUACCCUCUUCUUUUUUUUUUUUGUUUCUGCAAUCUUUUCUGUAGCUUUUUCUCUAUGUUCAAGUACUGACUGCUAAUACUGAUAGAAAGUCCAUUAAUAAGUGAAAUGAUUUUCUUUACUUAUUCAUUUUAAGCAGGGGGUGUAGAUGAUCUAACCAUACAUGCAAAUGAGUUCAGUUUUGAAGAAUCAGUAUCCACGGGUGAAAUUGUUAGGAAGGUGGAGUCUCCUAUCGACAAGAUUCAAGCUUUCAAUGAUAUCUUACAAGACUGUGGCAAUGACAGAAAGAACUUGACUGUUUACAUUGGAGAUUCAGUAGGUGAUUUGCUUUGUCUGCUGAAAGCAGAUAUAGGUAUUGUGAUUGGGGGGUCUAGUACAAGCCUAAGGAGAGUGGCGAGACGGUAUGGUAUUUCUUUUGUCCCAUUGUACCCUGCCUUGGUUAAGAAACAGAAGGAAUAUGCUGAAGGAAGCCCUUGUAUUUGGAAGGGGCAAUCAGGAAUUCUUUACACUGCCUCUAGCUGGGAUGACAUUCAUGCCUUCGUUUUGGGGUGGUAGAAUCUUGUAUUUUUUUUUUCCCCUUUUUUUGGGUUGGCACCUAUCAGCCAUCAUCAUCUUCUUGUUAGUUUAGGACAGAUGAAGGAACCGUUUAUACAGAGAAUUUUACAAUGGGGCCAGUGGUGGCAGCAAUCCCCAAAAAAACUUUUUGAUAGUAUUGGGCAGCUGCCUCCACUGAAUUCCUAAAAGAACUUUUUUGACAAUAUCAUGUAACUACCACAAGUUUUAAGUAAAGUUUUCAUUUUGCCCCCACACCAUUUCUAGUACUAUGUCACUUUAAAUUUUCAAGCAUUUGACAUAUGUGAAUAUGUGACUAAUCAAAGAUUUAGGACUUGGGAGCCACUGGUAAGAGAUUUAGGACUUAAUGCAAUAAUGAAAACCUGAUUUUGUGGAUCAGAUAGACUUUGUAAUGUUUUGAUCAAAAUGGUACUUGGCAUCCAUCGAUUGGGCUUGACAGAAUCAUGGGUCUAUUAGAAAGUUCUUGUUGGGGAUUUUGGUUUUAAUUAAAGUGUAACAUCAAUGUUCAAAACUCUAAUGAUGAUAACAUCUCAUUGAAAUCCCUUUCCUAAUUUUGGGUCAUCAUAGUUUUGCUCAUAUGGUACAUGCACUUCAACUGCAUUUCCAUAAUGAAAGCAGUAAGCACAUCAAAGUUAGUAUGUUGACCAUCACUCCCUUUCUGUCAUUUUGUGUUUUUUAUGUGAGCCCACGUAAAAUGCAUUUUCAUGAAAUAUUAUUUUUCUAAAUAGUGGGUUUUGUUAACUUUAUAUAUCAUUGCUUAGCUGUGCCAAAUGGGAAAAAAAUAAUUCAAAAAAAAUAAAAAUAAAAAGUUAGGUGUCAAGAAAAAUCUUGUUUGGUGGAAACCAUGAUCUGGUGGGCACCAAUGUCUACUUGUACGAGAAUCAUGGUUUUUAAUUAAUAAAAGAGUUAAUUGAGUGGGAUUAACUAUUAUCACUAAUCCUUUUGAUGUGAUUACUAUUGAGUUUUCAAUCAUUAUUUGCACUAACCUUCCUUUUCAUGGAGUUUGAUUUUAACAAAGCUUGGUUACUUGUCCAUCAAUGAUUGGUUCACAUUACAAUUUUUUUAAAUUUUUUUUGUUAAUGACAAAAUAUAAUAUAUAUAUAUAUAUAUAUAAUACAUGUAUAUGAAAAAUUAGAAAUUAAAAAUUAAGAAGCACAAAAGCAUGAAUUUAUAUAGAAUUAAGUAUUCUUUAAGAUUACUUAAUCUAAAUUGUUUAUACAUGGUAUUUGUUAACAUAAUUAUGAUAAAUAUACAAGUUAUAAAUUAAUAACAUUAUAAUCGUAUCGUAAUCUAACAAAAAACUAUUAAGGAAAAAGAAAUCUUAUACUGAAAUUAUUUUUCUUAAAUGAAAAUAAUCUAAUGUUGCUGAUCAAGCAAUUGAAGGUUGAUUUUCUUGAAAUAAAAUUAUGGGUUGGGACAUCGUGGAUGACCCUAAGCAACUAAUGGACAGUAUAGACUAAAGGCUUAAUAGUUGGAUAAGCACUUGGAAUCGAACCCAAAUUAAAAAAAGUUCCACAAUUAAAUAGUUAAUCCAAUCAGCUUAAUUGACUUUUAAACUUGGAUUUGAGACUAUCCUAUAUGAACCAUUAGACCUUCUCCACUGUCUAUUCUAAUGAAGAAUUUUUAAUGUUCGAUCAUCACCAUUUUUGUACCUCAAAAUAUUUUUUUCUUUUUUUCUUUUUUUAAAUUUGUUAAAGGACAAAGUGUUUUGCCAUAAAAAAAAAAAAAUUGGGGUUUGUCUGAUAACUGUUACUAUAAUAUAUGAGACCCACCAUCUUCUCUUUUCCUUCUUGCUUUGCUCUUCCCUUUUAUUAUUUUUUGUUUGAUGAUUGACUCAAUUCUUUAUGUUUUUUCUUGUCAUGAAACAACAAAAUAUGAAUAUAAAUAUAUAUAUAUAUAUAUAUAUAUAUAUAUAUAUAUAUAUGUNUAUAAUAAUAUAUAUAUAUAUAUAUAUAUAUAUAUAUAUAUAUAAUGGUUGCCUUUUCAGGAAAUUAACCUUUUUCUGGAGAAUCAUAAAUUAAAAAAAAUCAAUGUUUUUUCAACUAAAAAAAAAACAUUAUCUACAUGCAGGAAGUGUGAAUAUGCUGCAAAAAAUUAUAGGAUAUAUAGUUGGAGAUGAUAAAAAUUUAAAUACAUUAACAUAAUGAUACAUGAGUUUGUAUCUCAUAACAAAUUAAAAAUUCUAUUGCCCACAAAAAGAGAAAAUGUAAGAUUUGAAGCAAUAUAUAUAUUAAAGUUAGUGACCAACCAAACAAGUAUGCCUAUAAAGUAUAUAGAGGCCAUUAAGUUUUUACAUUACAAAAGCACACAAAUAAUCAUUACAACAACUAUUGCCUUGAAAAGCAAUAUAUAGGAGCCCUACCCUCUAAAACACUAUAACAAUACAUGAAUCUUGCAUUUCAUAUAUUAUACAAUGAACAAAUUAUAUAGAUAUGUAACAAAAAAAAACAUUUUUAAUUAAUUAAAUUACAGAAAACAACCAAAACCCAUCCACCUAUUAUGAAUCUAAAUCUCAUGCAAGUUCUUGGAAGCAUGUAACAUCCUCUCAAAUAUGUAAACUAGCCCUUUUGUGUUAGACUAGUUCCCUUUUUUUUUAUUAAAUUUAUUGCAAAAUUUUCAGCCACUUGACCAAUAUAAAACAAGAAUAAUGGCAAAGAAAAAAAACCCAAAAUUUUAUAAUGUAAAGUGUACGCAAAUUUUAAUUUUUAUAUUGGUCUUAGUUGCAACAUCCCUCCACAUGUCUAAUUAUUGAGUUCACUUUUCUUCUUCCUUCUUCUCUGCUUUUCUUGCUUUUCCUUUCCUUUAUUUUUUUUUAUUUCCCAAAUUUUAUUUUAAUUAUUUAAUUUGGAAUUAAUGGACCCUACAAUUAGAUGGUUCACCUUAGAUCCCCACUCUAAAAUUAUAAAGGGAACUUCUUUAACUUAAUUUUUAUUUAUUUUUUGCUUAUUAUAAUUUUUUAUUUUAAUACAACAGAUAAAAACAUGUGAAGUAGGCCCUCACUUGUACGUGGACCUUUGUGUUUAUAUUUUAUUGCAUUAGUUUAUUGUUUGGCUCUUGUUUCAUCCGUCCAACAUACCAAGAAAGAAGUAGGCAGAAUAAUCAUCCCCCAAUUAUAUAUUAAUCAUCUUUCACUCUUGAAUAUUCUCACCCUCUCUUCUCUCUACCUAGCCUCUCUCUUCUUCUUCUUACUCUUUUUCCUCUUUUCUUUUCUUUUUUUUGUGGGGUUUUAAUUGUUACAUGUUGGAUCAAGGAUGAUGACCAUGGAAUUACUUGCAGAGUUGAAAGGAAGAUAUCAAGGCCAAGUUUUGUUCAUGUUCAUUGGUAUUCUUAUACUGUUCAAAAAUGGCUGUACAUUUGAGCCAUGGCCUAAAUAAUUGGAGCAAACAAGAUUUGCUAGUGAUGACUUCGAGGAAAAUAUUAACCUCUAGGCAAGUCUAAUGCUUGGCUUAUCCUCCUUUUUAAUUUUGUUCUUCCUUUGUUUCCCUUUCUUUUUAACUUCCCUUUCUGUUUAUCAUGUUUGGUUGCUGAGAAAAUGGAGGAUAUUAUAUGAAUAAGAUUUGGAAUCUUGGCUUCAUGUAAGAUUCCAAGGCUUCUCUUCUUUGAGGAUCACUGUGUCUUUUAGGCAACCAAACAAGUUUUCUCUCCCCUUUUUCUUAACUUCGAGUUGUUGUCUGCUCAAACUCUGUACGAGAAAACACAUCUUUGUGAAUUCAGAAAGACAGUUUUUUGUUUCAUGUCCAUCCAAUUUACAUUCAUCAAACAAUAUGUAUAGCAGAAUUGCAUCAAACCUGUCUAGAUAAUAUUAUCAUCCAAUCACUAUACUUUUUCCUGAAUAUCUUAGAAACUCCAAGUCUUGAGUUAGUUUUAGUUUGAAAAACCUGGCAGCAUCAUAAUUCAUGGGCAUUUGAAAAGUUUUAAGGAAGUUUGGUUGGUGAAUGACUAUUCCAGGGCAUAUAAUAGUAUCCUGGAUUCAUUCCAGGGAAAAACCUGACAAAUUUGAUUAGCUGGUUUUGAGUGUUGACCUUUAAUAUUUGACAGAUAUAUAUGGAAGCUUUUAGCAUUACUCAAAUGAUUCAAGAAGAACAACCACUGGUAUGGAAUUCCAUAGUGAACCAGUGCAGGAAAAAUGCUGGUUAGGUAUAUGGGUUCCAGGAGUUCUGUUAAUCUAUCAGGUUAUGGAACAUGUUUGGAAACAUGAAAGCUGACCUUCUUUCACUUCAAGGGAUCUCCAUAUUUCUUACAUGCAAAGUAACUGCUGUUUGACAUCACAUUUGUAGAUAAAAAUUUCAUGUUGUAAUCCAAAGCAUUAUGGCCUGUAAUCCUGCUGAGUAGGCACCUGUAUAUUUUACAUACAUCAACCCUAAAGUAAAGAGAUUCUUGAAAUCUUGCUCUUGAAGUAAAGGUAGGGUUUAUAUUGCUGUGAAUUGAGAUGACUCUUCAGAUAGUGAACAUUCGAAGGCUAUCCCAAAUGGCCUGAGACGUAAAAAGCAAAAAACCCAAACCAGAUAACCUUUGAUGAGGUUCAAGGGGCCUCCAGCCUUUUGGGAUUUUAGAGGACACUGAGAACCUGUCCUCAAUUAUAGCAUCAUUUGGGACCCCAAUAUAGAAGCUGCAAUUUUUUUAUAAGAAAAAGGUGUAAAUUUCUCUCAACACAUGUGCCAUGUGUCUGUUAAUUUCAUAUUUUCCUAUAUGAUAAUACACAUUAAUCUUCAACCCCAACUCCCUAAAAUCUUAUAAUUAGGUUGGUCAAAUAUACUAAUAUGUUAAUUUAGAACAUAAGAUGCCCAUGUCCCUCCCUCAGGACUAUGGAAUCUUUCUUUCCUUAAUUCUUUUUUUCCUUCCAACUUUCUCUUGCUAGAGAAAAAGGCAGAAUGCAAUGAGCAAGGAUUUUGUAGCUUUGUGCUACCUUUUAUGCAAAACUAACAAAAAUAGUUGUCAUCAACAUCAACUUUUACUUUAGGAUAAGGAUGAUGAUUCAUCUAAAGUCCACUUUUUCAUCAUUAGCUGCCACUUGACUUGAUUAAUGGACAUGACACACAACUAAAAAGGGCAUAAGGAAAAUUAAUUAAUCCCAUUAAUUAAGAAUUUUCUAUUGGUUAAUGACUCAUCAGAGACUCAGAGACAAAGUUAUAACAAUGGUGGAUUAGUUCAAAUGACAGCUCAUUAAAACUUAAAACAAGAUUCACAUCUCUCAUACAAGCUAAAUUACCCUCUUUUUUUAUAAUAUUAAUUAUUCCCACUUUAUGGAGUUAACUUUUUUUUUUUUUUUUUUUACUUAGGAAUUGCUUGUUUUCUUUGGUGGGUUUUGUCCUGUUGUCAUGUUCUUGCCAUCAAAAAAGUUAUUAGCAUUUACUUGAAAAGAUUUUUGUACCCUUUGAAUAAAUUGGGAUUUUGUGAAAAGAUUUUAGAAUGGCCAAAAAGUAGGACUCAUUCAUGAACCUUUUUGUUAUCUUAUAUUUAUAUUUGCAUGAACGUUCGCAAUUCGGAUUUAGGGUUUAUAAUAGUCUUAGUUGGUUGGACUAACAUGGAAAAAAUGUACAAAUAUGAAACAAGGAAAGGGUUGUGAUUUUCAGACAAUAAUUAUUGACAAUCAAAUUAGUUAGUUGAAUGUGUUUGAUAUUAUGUUAAGAUAGAAUUAUUCAAUUUAAAAUAAUUGACAAAGAGACAAAUUACGAAGCAGGAAGGAGAGAGCAUGAAAGAUCCUGAUCCAUAGACAAGUUGUGUCCCAUCCAACACCCUAUCCACCAGCUAAGAUAGGUAAAUUUUUUUAAAAUAUAUAUAUAUAUAUAAUGCAAAUUAAUUAACUUAAAUAGAAUAUUUUUUUUUUUGUUUUUACGUAGGGAUAAUACAUUAUAGAUAAUUGUUUUCUACAAACUUUUAUACUUAGAAAGCAUUUUCGUUAGCGAUAUUGUUGAAGUUUUUUAUGAGGUAACAGAAAAGAAGAUAGAAUGAAGCAAACACAAUAACAGAGUGAAGGCUCAAAACAAGGAAACUUCAUUCUACAUAAGCACAUGAUACAUAAAAGACUUAUAACCAGGAAUAUCAUAUGAGGAUUUUUUUAAUUUUUCACAAGCCAAUCUUAAAUAAACUAGUACUGAAGCUGCAAGACUAUUACACAAAAGAAGCAAUAUAUCAUAAUACUAGGUUUGCUAUAGGUAUAGCUACAAGUUUUUCAUGUCUGUCACUUGCUUUUCACUUUACAAAAAAUAAGCCAAAAGGACAAAAGAUCCCAAAAGGAAAAUCUUCAACUUGAUCUUCAAGUUUCAACACUCCUCCUAAAGAUUAAUUUUGAAGAUACCUAAUUCUAAUCGCAUUGCCAAGAACUUGUCUGUUGGAAGACCUUUGGUCAUGAUAUCUGCUAGUGGUUCAUGUGAACUGUAGUGCUUAACAUUGACUUCUCCAUUUUUGACAACCUCUCAAAUCAUAUGAAACUUGACUGUGAUAUGUUUUGUUCUCCAAUGCUGCACAGGAUUCUUGGCCAUGGCUACUGCUGAUUGGUUGUCAACCUAUACAUCAGUAGGUCUUUCUUGAACAAAACCAAAAUCAAGUAACAUUUUUCUUAACCAAAUUGCAUGAUUAAUUGCCAUUGCAGUUGAUAUGUAUUCAGCUUCUGCUGAUGACUAAGCAACAACUUUCUGUUUUUUGGAGUUUCAUGAAAAAACUCCACUACCAAAAGAGAAAAAAAAACCAGAGGUGCUUUUGGAGUCAUCAAAACUCCCAGCCUAAUCACUAUCUAAAUAUCUACAGAGAUGAUAACUGCAAGUGUUGCUAUAUUUGAUUCCAUAGUUUGCAUUUCCUUUCACAUAUCUUAGGACUUUCUUUGUUGCUGUCAGGUGAGCCAUUGAUGGAUUGUGCAUGAAUCUUGACAGUAGGCUAGUGCUAAACAUGAUGUCUGGCCUUAAAGAUGAUAGAUACAACGAACUUCCUAUGAUACUUCUAAAGAAUGAUGGAUCUACAGGGUCUUCAUUAGCUGAUGAAGACAAUUUCAAGUUUGCAGCUAUUGGAUUAUUAACAAACUUGCAGUUUUCCAUUUUAAAUCUCCUUAGUAGCUCAAGAAUAAGCUUCCUUUGGUGGAGCAUAAUAUAAUCAUUAGUUUGGAUAAAUUUCAAACCAAGAAAAUAUGUCAUCAACUCGAGAUUUGUCAUCUCAAACUCCCUCAUCAUAUUUUCCUUAAAUUCUACCAUUAAGUUGUUCAUUGGACCAGUGACUAGAAUGUCAUCAACAUAAAUUGAAACUCUGAGUUCUUCAUCAUCAACUUUGGUUUUUGUAUAGAAAGUUGGUUCACUCUCACUCUUAUGAAAUCUAUGGCUACACAAAUAUGCAUCAAUCCUUCCAUAUCAUGCUUGAGGAGCUUACUUAAGCCCAUAUAGUGCCUUUUUAAGUUUGCACACCUUAUUUUCCAUACCUCACUUCACAAAACCUUUAAGUUGUUCGAUAAAUAUCUCAUCUUUCAACAAACCAUUGAGAAAGGCUGAUUUUACAUCGAGAUGCCAAAGCUUCCAAUUUUUCUUAGCUACAAUUGGUACAAAAAAUCUGAUUGUAUCAAGCCUAGCAACAGGUGCAAAAGUUUUUAAGUAGUCAACACCAUAUGUUUGCACAUAUACUUUGACUACCAAAUGAGCCUUGAGCUUAUUAAUGCUGCCAUCACUAUUAGGUUUCCAAGUUGUAGCUUUCGUGCGACUCUCCACUUAGCUUGCUUGGGAAAUGGCCUUUUUUCUUGCUUUCCAAAUUUGUAGGUAUCACACACAUAGUUUACAAUGGCAAUUUUAGGUAUGUCUUCAACUAAAUUAGCAUCAUGCAUAUGCUUAAAGGAUGCAAAGUUCGAAUGCCCCAUUCUUUUAUGCCAUGUAAUGAUGUCAUGUGAAACACAAGAGUAAGCAUGGUGAUUAAACUUUUUUGAACUAAGAGGAAAACAUUUAUUCUUCAUCUCAACCGUCAUGAGUUCUUUACCAAAGGGUUCAAACACUUUGCAAGAUUUUUCUUUGAACAACAAGGCAUAACCAUGUGCAACUAAUUGACCAACACUCAAAAGAUUUUGAUUGAUGGAAGAAACAUAAAAGACAUCACAAAUUUGUCUUGUACUAGAUGCGGUUUCCACUUCUACAAUGCCUUUUCCAUCAACCCUUAGAAAAUCUCCAUUUCCAAUUUCUACGCUUAACUUGUAUCUCUGAUCUAGAUUAACAAAGAGUGUUUUGUCACAUGUCAUAUGGUUAGAAUGUGCGCUGUCUAGGAGCCAAAUAUCUCUUUUUCACUUCUUUGGUUUGCAAAUGGUCAUAAAAAUCACUUCAUCAUUAUGCUCAACUUCCUCUGCUACUGUAGCCUUUUGAUCACUGGAGUUAGCUUUAUUUUUGCACAUUUUCUCGAUGUGCCCAAACUGGUUGCAAGCUCGACAUUUAGCGUUAGGUUAAAACCAACAAAACUUCUCCAAGGGAUUUUUUUUUUUCAAAAUUGACAUGGAGGAAAUUUAGUUCUUUGUUUCCUACCAUCACCUGGUCUUUUUUCUUUCUCUUUCUCUUUUUUUUUUUUAUUUUAUUUUAUUCUGUUUUCUUUUGGUUAUAAAAGGUUCCUCCUUUCUACCUUGCUACUAGAGCACUUUCACUGCGAUCCUCUACGGAUUGCUCUCUUUUAUUCUGAUGCUUGCAAGGCAUUUACCAACUCCACAAUUAUAUAGCUUGAAAGGUCUUUAGAGUCUUCUAAGGAUUAGAUCUUGGCUUCAAAUUAUUCUAGUAAAUAAACUAGAAUUUUGUUGACUACCCUCUUCUCUAGCACGUCUUCUUCCAAGAGCCUAAGCUGAUUAACCACUUUCAUGACUUUAUCAGUAUAAUCUUUCAAGCUUGCUUCUUCUUUCAUCCUUAGUGUCUCAAAUUCUCUCCAGAGAUUUAGAGCUUGGAUUUUCUUGGCUCGAACACUACCCUGUACAUCAUCCUUUAAUUUGUCCCAAGCUUUUUUGGUUGAUUUACACAUCAUGAUAUGUGUAAAAAUAAUAUCAGAUACUACCGAAUGGAUGUAAGAGAGGGAAUUAAACCACCUUACAACUUCCUCACUAUGCUGCUUCAAUUGCUCUAUGGUAAGAUUUUAUCUUUGUUCAGGUGGAUUUCCACCAACUUUCAUCACUUCUCACAAGUCAAAUGCUCGUAAGUAAGCUUCCAUUUUCACUGACCAUAGUGCAUAGUUUUCUCCUGAGAAAACAAGAAGUGCUGGUGCAUUGUAAUUAGUUGAGGUUAUUCAGUUUUGAUUUCUGAGAGUUUUUGUGAGGUAAGUUGAACAUUCUUUUUUUUAUAAUCUUCAAUCACUAAAAGAAAGUUUAUAGGUUCCUUAAAAACUCUUAAAGUGCUUUGAUACUAUGUUGGAGUUUUUUGUGAAGUAACAGAAGAGAAGAUAGAAUGAAGCAAACACAAUAACAGAGUGAAGGCACAAAACAAGGAAACCUCAUUGUAUAUAAGCACAUAACACAUAAAAAACUUAUAACCAGGAAUAUCACAUGAAAAUUUUUUUAGUUUUUCACAAGCCAAUCAUCUUAAAUAAACUAGUACUAAAGCUGCAAGGUUAUUAUACAAAAGAAGUAAUAUAUCACAAUACUAAGUCUAUUAUAGGUACAGCUACAAGUCUUUCAUGUCUGUCACUUGCUUUUCACUUUACAAAAACAAAAGUCAAAAGGACAAAAGGUGCCAGAAGGAAAAUCUCCAAUUUGAUCUUCAAGUUUCAACAGAUAUUAGAAAUUAUAUAUUUCUUAAUAAAUCUAAUCAAGUAAUCAUCUAAUCUAAACUAUAAUGAUUCUAAUAUAUAAGGUAUUAAAGUCAUUUUCCAUAUUCUAAUAAUAUGAGUUUUUUUUGGUAUUUUGCUAUCUAGAGUAUCUUAUAUAAAGCAUAUUUGAGAUCUUUUAAGUUUUAAAAAAAUGAGAAAUUUGACAAAAUGAACAUUGAUGAAAUUUUUUAAACUUAUAAUUUGUAACGAAAAUCCAUUUAAACAAAAUAAAAAAAAAACUCUCUAAGAAGUCAAAACAACAACAACAAAAAAUCAAUUAGCAUUAUUAAUCCAAAUAGAAGUUACAAAUCACCAAUAACAUAAAUCAAUUAAAAAAACCCCAAAAAAAAGCAAACACAAAAGUAAAUGAAAAUAAAAAACAAAAAGCAAAAGAGGAAAAAGCUUUGCCAAAUUUGAGAGACUUUAUGGGUUUUAAGAAAAAUAAGAGAUUGGAGUUUAAAGUGAGAAAGAAAAAAAAAUUAGUGAAAGGGAAUAAAAGAAAGAGAGGAAAAGGAAAGAAUCGGCUGCUGAAGCUUCAAGCCCAUUAAGUUCAAUUCAGAUUUAUAUUUUCUCUUGACUCAAUAAGUUUAAGCUCAAAGUCCAAAACCCAAUAAAAUAAUGAUCAAAAUUAUAAUCAUCUUAAAAAAAAUCAAAUACAAUAUUUUGAUGAAUUAAUUUGUAUUUUAAAAAUUAAAAAAACACAAUCAAUACUUUAUAAUAUAAAAAUUUAUUAAUAAAAUUGAAACAAUAAAAAAAUUCUUUAAAAAAUCAAUAUUUUAAAAUAAUUAUCUUUGAUUUAUUAUUAUUAUUAUUAUUAUUAUUAUUAUUAUUAUUAUUAUUAUUAUAAUUUUUUUAAGGUUUAGGGUCCAAAAGCAAUGGCUUGGACAAGAUAAGACAUGAAAUUGAUACUAUUAUUAUUACUUUUAAUCUAUCCUCAAAACAAGGGUAAUGGAGAUAAUUAAUUAACCAUUUACACCUACCAACUACACCAAAAUCUUGAAACCCAUGAAAUUGAUUCUAAAGGGGAAAAACAAAACCACUCAAGCAACCGUUUUCUUUCUUUAAUUAAGAAUCAUUAAUAAAUACAUCUAGGCUACUACUAUUCUAACCCUCAUUGACUUGAUAUGAUGCUAUUAGCUAUUAGACUUUCUUUAAAGAAGAAGAAGAAGAAGAAUAAGAGAAAAAAAUUAAAAUAAAUAAUCUUAUAUAACUAUUUAUUAUAUAAGAAUUAUACACUUUCUUGAAAAAAACGGACACUUUAAUUAUAAUCACAAUUCUUACAUUAAUUUGAAUAAUGUAAGAUAAGAGAAAUAUAUUAUAAUUCUUAAUUAAUUCUUGAAUGGUAUUAAUCAAUUGAAUUAAUAUUUUGUCUGUAAAAUUUAAUUUUUUUUCCUGCUCCAUCCGUAAAUAUAUGUACUAAGUACAAUGUACAACCAAACACAUCAAAUAAAUAUGAAACCUAAAUUAAGGAUAGUUUUAAGUAUUCCACUGCACAUGAACUGAAAGAAAAAAAAAAAGAGAAAGAGUUGUAGCAUUAAAAUUAAAACCAAAUCAACCAGAAAAUAACUUUUAAAAGAAUUUGAUCAUUUUCCAAAAAAAAUUCAAGAAAAUAACUUUUAAAGUAGUAAAUUUAAAAAAUUAUCUUAUAGUUGUAGGAUUCAGGUAUCUCAUUUAUUAAUAAGGUUCAAGUAGAUCAAAUACUUCAAAAUUAACAGAUACCCUAUCCGUUGACAUCUUUAGUUAUCUCUCCCCUUCAUUAGGCAUAAUCUUGUUUGUCCAAGUAUGGGGAGAAUUGUGAUGUUACAUGUUUUAUAUAUAGCUUUUACAUGUUUUAUUUAUAAUUUUGUCUCUUCAAGAAAAUUUUUAUAUAGUCGGUUAAAGAAAAUAAAAUAACUACAUCAUUCUAAGUCAUAAAACCCCUUAUCUUUUGAAACUUUAAUGAUACAUUUAUCAAUAAAUUAAUUAAUUAUAAAACCCUAUUUUAUUUACGUUUACAUAUUAAAACCCUAAUAAUUUGUAUAAAUCACUUUUUAUUUUAAUUAUAUCUCUAUUCUUCCUGAUAUUUAUAAUAAUAUUUUUUUGGUCAAUUUCAAUGGGGAUAAAGUAAUAAAGAGUUAAAAAUAUUGACUAUUUUUUAUCCUAUAAUAAAAUGAAAAUUGGAAUUUCAAUGAGAGCAAUCGCCCCCACGAUGGUCUGUGGAUCCUUCUUGAACCCGGCACAACAGGUUCUAGAGGCAAACUGUCAUGAGAGAAUAUCACUUAAUAGAUAUAUAAACAAAAAGUAAUGUACCCAACUACGAGCCACAAACCCCUAUUUCCCCCUCCGUUAGCAGCCAUCUAUAGAUAUGGGAUUGAUCAUGUCAUGCAUCAACACGCACGGGAGGGGCUGCCUUCUUUCACCAUCAAUGAGAGAGUGAUGAAAUAAGACAGUGACUCAGCCGAUGAAUCAGUUUCCCUGUUUUCUUUCAACAACUCCCCCUGCCCUCUGCCCCCUCACACCUCGAACCCCACCAGAAAAAGCAGUGAUUUUUUGUCCUUUCUCUUUUCUACUUUGUUGACUUUUGGGUACGUAUUUCAGUUGUUGUAUUAGGAAUAUUGAUAAUCCUGGCUUGUCAGUUGAGCUUUACAGAAACAUAUCUAAUCCCAGAUAAUGAGAGAUUAAGGCUGCAAAGUCUGUGUCUUUUGCUAACCAAAUUUCACCCUUUAUGCCAUCACAAAUUUUCUACAAAUGAUUGGCACCUGGUUUGAAUAUGAUCACAUGGAUGGCCUACAUGGGAAAAUUAAUUUUUGUGGUUUCAAAUGAAUGUAAUCUUCCAUGUAUUUUGUCAAAGAUAAAAGAGAUAAACUUGGAUUUCUUUUCAUGAGAUAUAUUUUACAGUUUUUUCCAUGAGAUGGUAUUCUUUCCUAAAACUAAAAGAACAAUGUUACAAAGAAAACAACAAAUAAACAUCUAAUAGAGAAAAUUGCACUUCUAAUUUGACAAAAAUUUCUGCAAUAUUUUACAAAUAAUGUUGAAUGGAAUACAAAAUCAAUUGGGGAAAAAUUCAGUGCUGGUAGGUAACAUGAGAAUUAAGACUUCUAUCAACAUAAGAAUCAUGCACUCAUUGAUCGUGUGGUGUCCCGGUCUUCAAGACCUUUCAAGAACGACCUAAUUGCGAGAUGCUCUGAAGCAUAUGUCAUGAAAGAUGCUAAUAUAAGCCCUCCAACAACCAUCAGACCCAACCUGGUGAGCAAAUGUCAUGGACCGUGAAAAUGAUAUAAGACCAGUUCAAGAACAUUAUCAAGGUUUUUUUUCAAACAUUAGAUUUAAGGUUUUAAUUCGUCCAAAAGAAAAAAGAUUUAAGGUUUUAAUUCCUAAAUCAAUGAUGACAAAAAUGUAUGAAGAAACAGAGCUAGCAAUCUGCAACAACAUAGUCUUUCUUUGCCUUUUUCUACCAAUGGUUUUGCAAAAGCUGUUAUCUUUCAAAAUCACAGAGGAGAAAACAAGAAUAUCCCAAUAGAAAUGCUUGCUGAAAGGAAAUUACCUCACAAAAAGAGCGGUGAUCCCAAAAAUACAUGGUAAGGAUGGGGCAGCAAUGGCCAAAAAGGCCAUCCCCAACCCAUAAUACCAAGUAACAAUAUCACAAGAUGAUGCUUGCCGUUGAUGACCUGAGAUGAGCAUACAAGAAUUGUUAACCACUAUAAAAUUAAUACAGAAAGGGAACUAACACCAUAUUUAUCAUGACCAUGCACAAUAACAGAUGUCUAUGUUCCAAGUGAGUAAACCUUUUGUAGAAUCAAAAUCAAAAGAAUCCGUACGAGAGGAAAAGGAUCCCAAUUGAGUUGCUGUUCUCCUUCCCCACUGAUGAGUCAAAUGAAGAAAAGCUCCGAACAAAAGAAAGAAGAUUGUAAAUGUCCACUCAUACAUCAAGAGUAAACCAGUCCAUGGCAUCACUUGCCGAGGUACAAUUGAAAGAGCAAUUCCAAGGGACACGACAGCAGCCACAAAACAUACAAAAACUGAAAUUCCACCCAGGUAGGCAGGCACAGGGAACUAUGUAAUACCAAAUAAUAGAAGUGAGAAAUUAAUAAGUUUACAUCAACUUUUAGUAGACAAAGAGGAUAAUAGGUUUUAUGAAGCCAGAAAGAAUCCAGCUUAAAAGAUGAAGAUAGGAAACUAACUUGAUGGUUAGAAUUAAUGGUAGGAGAUGAAGAAACUCCUGUGUAAGCAACUGUUCCACUUGACCUAAUUAUGUAGUAAAAGUGUCUGAUCUGAUUGACUAAUGAAGUUCUACAAAGCAAACCCCCUCCCUGCACCAAAAAAUAAUGUGGUUUGAGAACCGGACAACAACAACCAAGGCAUUAAUUUCAGAAAAGCAAAAUAAUAUAUAGCCACUAACCUGAAGGAAAGAACGAUAGUAAUAGAAAAGUAGUGCACAAAAAGGUAUCAGGAAAAGGAAUUUGACCAGAAGCUCUUCAUUAGGAUUUUUGCCCCCUCCAGUUCCAGGAAGGGAUUCUUCAAGCUGUUCCCUAACAUUCUGCAGCAUCAGCAAACAAAUUAUAUUUGACAUUUGUCCUAUUGACAGAGCAGAUGGAAAUAUAUCACAGCUUUGCAUAUAAUUGCAAAUGAGUCAGCUUUUACCUGCCAGACAUCAACAGGUUUUAAGAGCCAAGAUGUCCACCAAUCCCAAGGUUUAAGGGGGCCAAGUGUAUAGUGAAUAACACGAAGUUCACUCUCAUCUACCAUCCACUGCACAAACAAUGCAUAGAGAAAUGAGGAUACCUAACCAGAAAAUAAAAAUAGCUUAAGCAAAAGCAGAAUUUUGUUUCCUUUUUGAAUUUUGAACAUAAAUACUAUAUUAUUCGAAUAAAUAAAUAAAUAUUUAUUCGAAUAAAUAAAUAUUAUAGUGAAAAUUCAAAAUUUACUAAAUUCACUUUUUGGUUUGCAUAGGUUUCAUAGUUGAAUAUUUAAAAAAAGAAAGUCCUGACACCCAAAGCAAGAAACUGAAACAAAUCAUCAUGAUCUAAAAACAAAAGAAAGUCUACAAGAGUCUGUCAUCAGAAUGCAUAAAGUGAGAAUUCAAGUAAAUGAAAAGCAAAUUGUCCAAAGGAAUUUAAAAUCAUUCUUAAUCAACAUAUUGUAAAUCUCAACUGCUUGAUUACAAGACAAAGAUAGACAGACAGGGAAGAGCAACCUACUUGAUCAUGCUCAUCAUCGUGGUUAAAAGUACAUUUUCUUAUCUUCAAUUAAAAUAAUAGGCUGAUUGAAUCUUGUGAUUGGUCUCAAAACCAACUCAAGCUUCUCUACAAACUCUGAUUACAUAAAGACUGAAUAUGUACUAUUUUUUUUACUCGUUCCUUUAAAUCUUUUUAGAGUAUUUAUCCUAACCUUUUCACUAAUGAAACUAUAUUCUUUUUUAAUUUUAGUAACAUAACCAUGUAGCAUGUGAAACAAGACUAAUAAUGAUAAAGCAGCAUGACGUAAAACAUGUUAAUGUCAAUAUAUGUACUACCUUGUUGGCAAGCAUGUAAAGACCAACAUCUGCAUUGUAUAGAGUAGAGAGUCGCUCCAUCUUAGGAACAGGUCGGGAUUUCAACCCCUCUAGUGGUAUAUUAGGGUCAAAAACAUGGGCAUUUGGGAAAUCAGAGUAAUAAGAAUUCAGAAAACCCUGAUCUCCUCCGGUAUAAGAAGGCAACGUAUUCACUUUGCCCAUCAUGUCAUUGAAAACAGCUUCAGAUGGCUCAACUACCAUGACUCCUGAAUUCAGCCUCUCAGAAUGCUUUAGAUUGGCACAAAAUUUCUCACAUUUAAAGAGAUCUUCAAUGCUUUUCACUACUAUAGUAUCGGCAUCCAGGUAAACAACUACACAAGCAAAUUUUCAAUCGUGAAACAAUGCAACUCAGCAGAACAAGCAUUGAGAUUAUAAUAAUAAAUUAAGACGAAUAUUGUACUAAAUACACUACAAGAACUAGAGGUAGGAGAAGUGUUAACAAAACUUAAGUACAUAAUAUUCAACCUCUUGGGUGUUCUAGCCAACUUAUAAAAGAUGCAAGAAACAUCAAUUACUUUUAUUAAAUUGAGCUUUGAUUCUUGGGAAACUGAUAGAAAACAUAUUUACCAGUUCUAGUUUUUACUCUGGAACAUUUUAAUAUAGGAAAUGAGGUAUCCAUUAUACAAUAUAUAGGUAUGUAAAUUACAGGCUUCCACCUUUAAAUUUGCUCUCACAUGUAAGAACUUAUGCACUAAGAAUACAUCAUACAUAAGCUACAACCUCUACUAUAUUCAUCCUUAAUUUUACCUAUACAUUUUCUUUAAACAACAAAAAUGAAACAUAAAGAAACCAUGAAAAAAGAUUUUACCUUUCUUGUAGUUAGUCAUAUUAAAAAUUUUCAAUUUCGUGUAGACACCCCAAAACCUCUUUGGCCGAACUUGAUUCGGAUUUGCCAAUAAACUUAUCUUCUCCACUAUCCACCCAUCAGCCUGGCCAAUCCCCCAGCAAAAAGAAAAAAAAGUAAAAAAUGCAAAAAUUAAAACUUCAAAUUCUGAUGAAAAAAUUUUCCCAAAUUUUCUAAGCAGACUAACAGACCAAUAAUUACAAAGCUCAUAACUUUCCACAAAUAGAAUGGAAAGAACAAAGUAAUUUUCAGUUGUUCUUUCAGAAAAGCACAAAGUAAUUUUCUGGGUAAACAAACAGAAGAGUAAAUAGGUCGCCAAAAUUUACCUUAAGAAGCCUCUUCGCAUAAUCAGAAACGCCAUCGGAGACCAAAACAACCAUGUCUUUAGUUGAUCCAGUGUCCCGUAUCGAUUUCCCCAAAACCCUAACUCCCAAAAGAAACUCAUCUCCAUAAAGCAGCGUCACGUAAGCAUUUGUCGAUGAAGAUUGAACUUUAGUCCCCAACACCGCCUUGGAUUGGAUCGUAAUCAAAACAACCAAAAUCAGGAUCGAGGGUUUUGGGAAUUUCAUUUUAUUCGAUUUUCUCGAAAAAAAAGUUUUAAUUUUUUUCUAUUCUCAAUGGGAAUAGCGAGAAUUUAAAAGUUGAAGGACGUGGGCGUUUGGCAGUAGAAGAAGAAGCUUUUUCGUUGUGUUCAUGUUUGUGGUGUGCUUUUGACUUUGUACUUGUUUUUUUUGUUUCUUUUUAGUUGCCAACUUUGGUUUGAAAGCAGAGGAAUAUUCUACGCUUUAAAAGAAAAAUAUUAAGCUUCUAUUUUAUUUAAAAUUAUUUUAUUUAUUUUUCUAUUUUUUAAGUUAUACAACUUUGAUAAUUCGAAUUUAAUUUCAUCCAAUAAUUCAGAAAAUAUAAAUAAUUUUAAAAUAAUUUUAUAAUAUUCUAUAUACAUUUAUAUAUUCUUAGCAACAAUAUAAAUCAAUUUAAUAAUUUUACCAAGUAACGUGUUCCACUGUUUUUGAAUAUAUAGUAUUUCACAACUCACAAGCUGUCCGUGUUAUGUAUGAAAUGCAAAUGUCAUGUAAAAGCAUAUAAAUGAAAUUUUCAUGUAAAAGUAGAAAAUACAAUAAUUGCUUACUAAUUUUCUUAUUUGACCAAAUAAAAAAAAAAGCAAAGAAAAAUAUUUGCUCUCAAAGCCCAAUGACUUGGCCUAAUAUUUUCCCAAAUAGGCCUUACACAAAGGCUGGUGCAAGGCGAGGUUGGCCACACAACCCAAUCCCUCCCUCAAGUUCAGCUUCACAUCACCUCAGGGACCAUAUCCACCAAGCUUAGCUCUGUCCAAAACACACCCAGGCCGAGCCUCCUUAAUAAACUAUAUCCUUUGCAGUAUCUUCCCUCUGAUGGUGAAAUGAUUGGGGAAAGUGGUGAUGUGGGGGCAUAAACCAAGAAACUCUAAAUUUCAUGUAGGCAUUGAUCUUGCAAUUUUCUGUGAACAACAAAUAGACUGCAAAACAAGAAUUGUGGAAUAUAUAGGGAAAAAGAUAAGGAGUAUCCAUGGGAAUUCCUUUAUCCCAAGACCUAGCAGCUUGUACUUCAUAAAAGGCCUCAAAAGUAGAGUAGCUAGAGAGGAAAAAGGAUUUAGUAAGAACAUUCAACCAAACAUUAAUAUUUUUAAAAUACCAUAAUAUUUAACACACCAUAGGCAAUGGCAUCAAUCUUCCUUCAUCUCAAAUAUUAAUGGGUACAAACAAUAAAAUUUAAUAAUUUUUAAAUCACAUCAUGAAGAUAAAUGAAUACAUUUCGAAAUUUAUAUAAACCGUCCAUAAGUAAAUUUAAACAAAAAUUAAACAUCUUAUACAUAAAUUUUCUUAUAUAUACAUACAGAAUUCAAUAUCUUUUUUCUUCUUGCCAUCAGGAACAGUUCCUUAAUUUCUUUCACCACUAAGGUCGCCUCUGUGUUGACAUCCCUACAAAAGAUUUGGGCUAACUAUCAUGAAAUGGAGUUAUGCAAUACUAGCAAACUUAACUUCAUGGAGGACACCAUAAAAGCAAGACCUUUAAAUGUACCUGUUUUCUUGCUUCUUUCAACAAGCAGUCUCCUCACUACUUCCUGCAAAGUUUGGCACGUCCCCAGCAUAUCAAUACAAAUAAACAUAAAAUUUUUUUUUUUGGUGCUUUGAAGAAAGUGUUAGUAAGGACAUAUUUGAGAGAUUUUGCUGAAAAUGUUAGUUCUGGAGCUCAUCAUAUUGGAAAAUCCUAGCUACAAUCUUGUAUACUAGUGCCGAGCAAAAUCUUUAUUUUUUUCUCAAAUUUUUGAUAAUCUAUAUUUUAUAUAAAUGCUUUCCUCACCCGAGAUUACAGUUUUUAAACGCCCGAGCUGCCCUGACUGCAACGGCACUAUAAUGGUCCUGAAUAUCCAAUCCUCCUGGUUGUCAACGAUUUCUACAGACAAGUUGGAUGGUGGGUUUAAGGCUUGAACUACCUCGUCUUCCUUUAUACCCGGAGAGAUGCUUACAUACAUUUGCUUGAGAUGUAUCUUGUUGUGAAGCUUGGCUCUCUUAGCCUCAUCCCCAUCUAUUGCAUCUCCUUCCAGUUCAACAUAAAUUUUUCCAGCAAGGAGGUCCAAGUGUUGUAGAUCUCCAAUGCUGAGUUCUUCAGCAUCAUUACGAUCUGCUCUCACUAUGAUUCUAUUUAAUCUCAUGAGAGAAGUUAAUUUACCGAUCCCUUUUGGGUAGUAAGUCACACUACGACAACGCUCAAUAGAAAGAUACCUCAAGUUAAUCAAAUUCCCGAUUCCAACGGGAAGUUUCUUAAGAAGAGGGCAAAACCGAAUAAUCAAGGAUUGUAAGUUACGCAAUUCACACAAUGCUUCAGGUAAAUAUUUUAUAUCAGUGCAAUCAAUCAAGCAAAGGUACCUCAAGUGAAUCAACUUUCCUAUUUCACAGCAAAUUCCUUCCGCGCCUUGCAAAAGCAAGCGAAGCUCCAAUAAUCUCAGACGCUUGGAUUGACUAAACAAGUUCUGUAAGGCUUCAUUAGUUAUACCAUUAUCUGGUAGAGAAACUACCACUAGGCUUCGCAAUUUUUCAGUGCUGUUAAUGGACAUGGGAAAACCUUUCGGGCCUGCAACCAACCUCAAAUGACGAGGUUUUUUGUAUGAUAAGUCCAAAGUUAAAUGUACAUCCUUCUCUGUGACAAACUCGUAUUUUGUCAAAAAUUGGACAAACUCAUGUACCAUGUCAUGCAUCUUACAAGAACGAAUGUUGCCAUCAGCAUCGUUGUCAAAAUCUUGGAAAAAUGAACGAGCUGCUAAAAAUUUAAAGUAACCUUCACCUUCUAAUUCUCUCCCAAAAUUGUCAGCAGAAGUCAAAUAGCCUUGCGCCAUCCAACGUUGGAUCAAUUCAUCUUUACGAAUCCGGUAGUCCUUCUGAAAGAUCGCACAAUACAAUAAGCAUCGUCUUAUUGUUGAGGGCAAAUCAUAAUAACUCAACAAUAAAGGUUGAAAAAUAUCUUGUGCAAAAUCUGAUUUCCAUAUCUCACUACUCAAAACAUUUUGCCACUCUUCUCUUCUUUGUUUAUCUCGCAGGAGAUCUCCUAAAGUUUUUGCGGCAAGCGGCAAACCUUUACACUUCUUUGCAAUUUCCCUUCCAAUGUCCUCUAAAUUUCCACGCCUGUCACUGUUUUCUCCAGUAAAUGCUAUUUGAGCAAUUAUCGACCAACACAUCUCAUCAGGUAAUUGUUUUAGAGGAAAGACAUGAGACAAGUCCAUUUGCCUUGCAACAGAUUCCUUUCGAGUAGUUACUAAAAUCCAACUUCCUGGCAUGCCAUACUGAAAAGCAGCUUUUAAGGGUUCCCAAUCUUGAUCACGAUCUGACCACACAUCAUCCCAAACAAAAAAGAAUUUUUUUCCUUCAAUCUUUUCACGAAUUUCAUUUAGAAGACUCUCUAAUGAAAUUGGAUUUUGAAGGUUGGUUGAACCAGAGUUGAGACCUCCAAGAAUUUCUCUAGCAAUUUGUCUUUGAUCAAAGGGGUCUGAGACACACACCCAAAUUUUGUUCUCAAAAUGAGUCUGAAUUCUAUGAUCAUUAUAAAUCAAUUGGGAAAGAGCUGUUUUUCCCAUUCCUCCCAUGCCUACAACAGUGAUGGUAGGAAUAUUAUUGCAACCCCCUUCUUCACUAGGUCCAGACAGCAAUUUACUUAUUAUUUUUUCUUUGAUCUCAUCUCGACCAAGUAUCUGUGACACAUGCACAAAAGAAGUGCUUUCUGACCGCUUAGGUUGCUUAAUUUCACUUUUUACCAAGUCAGUCCUAACUCUGUCUUUAGCAAUCUUGUCUAGCUCUUCAUUGAUAUCUUUUGUUCUGGUAGCAAUGUCAUGACGCCUAGCAACUUGUGAGCCAAAGGAAAAGCAGGAAACGAAGGGACAUACCUUCCUCUUUGGAACAGAAGAGGUUUCAGCUCCAUCUGUUUGCAACUUGUCGAGUGCAGUCUUCCAGUCGUCCAAUACGUCUUCCAUGUCAUAAGCAACUUGUUUGAACCUAUCUAACCAAUGUUGGACACGUUUGUUGAUAAAUUGUUUUUCCUCCGCAUCUUCAAGCUCGCACUGGAUUGCCUCGAGAUUGCUUUUAAGCCUUUCGACUUCUUUAUCGACGCCCGUCACCAGUCUCCACUCUUCCCGUGCAUUUUCAAUUGCUAUGGCGGCCAGCUCCAGUAAGAUCGCGGAAACAAUAGCUUCGGCCAUAGGAUACUUGAAAGUAGAGAAACCAGAAGCGAUGAAGUCAACUCUAAAAACUCAGUGGGUAAUUUGGAAAGGAGAGGAACAAGUAGUGGAGAGAAGAGAUCCACUGCUUCUAUACCCAAUUAUUAUGAUAUCUUUUUUUUUUCUUUUUCUAUAGAACACAAUGAAAAUAGUGUACCAGAGCCAUCAACAAUAUUUAAAGAUGGAAGAUUUUCAAUUGUUUUUUUCUACCACCUCGGUCAUCCGUGGUGGCUCAACAUUGUGGUUAGGUGAAGAAAAUGUCAAGGAAAUCUUCUUUAUGGCCUUUCCUGAGAGACAUCCUACUUAACCAAGGAUUUUACGGUGCCACAUGAUCUAAAAAAAUACAUAAGGAACAAACUGAAAAGGGGAAAAACAAGCCUUAAACUUUGAAAUGAGGCUAGAUUUUGAAGGUUCCUUGAACCAGGGUCAUGGCCUCCAAUAAUUGCUCUAGCAUUUUGAAUUUGAUCAAAUAGGGGUGAGACACGCGCCCAGACUGUGUGGUUGAAAUGAGUCUGAAUUCUAGGAUCAUUAUAUUAUAAAUCAACUGAGCAACAGAUGGUUUUGCUAUUCCUACCAUUCCUACUGUGGUGAUGGUAGGAAUAGUACUGCAACUCUUUUUUUCACUAGUUACAGACAGCAAUGUACUUAUUAUUUUUUCUUUGACCCCAUCUCGACCAAUGAACUGUGACACAUUCACAAACGAAGUGCUUUCUGACCGAUUACUUUGGUUACUUUUACUUUUGACCAAUUCAAACGUAAGUCUGUCUCCAGCAAUCUUGUCUAGCCUGUCAUCGAUUUCUCUUAUUCUGGUAACAAUUUCUUUACCACUAGCAAACGCAAAGAACCAAGGGAAGAGACGUACCAUCCACUUUGAAAAAUCUGGUUCCAAAUGGAGUGCAGUUUUCCAGUCGUCUAAUACGUCUUCCAUGUCAUAAGAAACUUCUUUGAACCUAUGUAACCAAUGUUUGACAGGUAGGUCCAUGAAUUGUUUUUCCUCUGCAUAAUCAAGCUUGCACUGGAUUGCCUUCAGAUUACCUUCAAGCCUUUCGACUUCUUUCCCAACACCCAUAACCGUUCCCCACUCGUUCCGUGCAACUUCAAUUAUUCCUGAGUUCAUCAGCAGCUUCAAGAUCACGGUAACAAAAGCUUCGGCCAUAGGUAACUUGAAAGUAGAGAAAAAAUAAUUGAUGAAGUCAACUCUGAAAAGCUACAGUGUAAUUUGAACAAGAGAGCAACAAGUCUUAUGUGAACAACUCUGAAAAGAAAUGAUCCAUUCUUCACUACUUAUGUGGAGUUAAUUAGUAACCCUUGGGAUUCUUUCUAGGAAAAAGAUAUCAUCAUUCUCUUCUUGGAACUCUGGAAUGUAAAACACCUGCUGCAAUUAAUUUAGCAGCUCUUCAUUUUAAUGUUGAAGCUGCACAUUGCUGGGGUCCCCAAUUUUGCCUUUGAAACUGGAAGGUCUUUCUGGAGAAACGUCUUAAUUAAUAAAUGAUCAUUUUAGUACCUAAGUACCACAAAGAGAAAUAAACAAGCCUUAAACAGAGAGUUAACUCAUUCAUUCUAUUUUCUCCAAAUCACCCUGAAUUUUUUUUUCAACAUUUUUAUUGGAUUUAUGAAGGGAAAGCCGGUUUGAAGGGAAAACUGAAAAUGAUGACAACCAUGCAUCAAUAACGCCAUGACAUCUAGAAUUCUACACAAUCUCAAACUUAAACUCCUAGUACCUUCUUCCCAAUCUUGCAUGCAGCAUAAGCAUCCGUUGUUACACAUCCAAUCUAGUCUUUAUCUGAGAUCUUUUGCCAUCCUAUCAACUGGAACCCUGCUAGAAGACCUGGUCUUAAACUGCACUAAGAGAUUACUGUCCCAUCUAAUACAAGGAUUUACCAGGACAUAACGACUAAAAAAUUACAACAAUUGUACGUUAGACUGCUAAAGAAAUUAAAAAUCUCACAAAACUAUUAUAGAUGAGACUAAUUUUUAUUAGUCAAUCUACCUUAUUGUUAUCGCAUUCUAUUUAAAUUUAAUUGACCUUAACAAGUGUUUAUAGGCACCUUAACUGAAUUUUAUAUAUAAAACUCCAUUUUUAAUUGAAUGAGCUAAAACAACAAGACUUAAAUAAUUAUAUUUACACAUCCGAUGAUUCGACAUAAUGAUUAGUAUAUACUUCCUCUUACUUGAAAUAUUAAGUUAGAAUAUUUUUUUCUUCGAUAUCAAAAUAAUUAAUUAUACAUAAAUCGAAAUUGGUUAUGUUUCUAGACUGUUAAUUAUGUCACGUUUGAGUAUUUAGAGAGCAAAAUGAUACAAUUGACUUGGGAAUUGGGAUUAUUAUUAUUAUUAACUUAUUAUUAGCUAGAAAAUGGAGGUUGACAUCAGAGUACUGCCUAAUCCCCAAAAAGAAAACUUAUAUUUCUGUUUCAUACGAGUAAUUGUAUACAAUCUUAGAACUUGUAGUUUUCAACCCUGGAAAGUUUCAGGAACAAAGAAAUUCUUUGCAGUAAUGUAAACAGUUGCUUCAGCAGUUAAUUUAACUGAGAAAUUUCCAAUUCUAAAUUCCAGACAAGAAAUGAAAAUGAGCAUAUUACAUAACUUCGUAUGUAAACAGAUGAAUCAUCUAUCAGGUUUGGACAAAUUAUCCAUCAGCCAUGAAUUGAUGUUUAAGAGACUAAUGGGUAGUGACAUAUGUAUGAUCUAACCAUAUCUCAGACUCAAUCUCCCAAGCUUCUUCCCAAUCUUGGAUGCAGCAUGGGCAUCAGUUGAUGCACAUUCAAUCAGCUUUUGGGGGACAUCUCCUGUCUUGGAAUUAUCAAUCCGUAUCAUGCUGGGGGGCCUUGCCUUAAAUGGCACCAAAAGAAGUUGAUGUGCCAAGCUUCUCACACCAAAUGCACGAAGGCGAGGCUGAUGGAGUACAUCAGCUGCUAAUUCACUUAGAUCAACUACAUUUCUAAUUUCGAGCCUGUGUUUCUCCCACAGCUUUUUGACAUCUCCCUGUAAAUGUACACCAGCAACAAUUAUGUCCUUGUGAGAGAGGAACUGCCCGGGUUUUGAAAUAAAGUUGGGGCGGCCAGUGCCUAGCGUUAUCAGAAGACAGCCAAACUGAUUGCACAAUGUGAGUAAACUAUCAUUGCUAUGUUGAGAAAGCCAUUCUAUGUCAAACCCAAGAACCAUGUUCCCAUUUUCACACAUUUUCUGUAGUAAGAUGUCAAGGCAAUGGCCUCUCCUCUCUCUUUCAGUAAUCAAUUCAGUCACUGCAAAGGUACCAUCCAACAUCAGAACCUCAGAUCCCCUUAACGUUCUUAUAAUAAAAUGCGAACUGAUAGAGGAAGAGAAUUUUGGAUUUGCACUGAGGCAGGACUAUUUAAUUUUCCAGAGAAACUGAAGAAAUGAUCCAUUUCUUUCACUAUUUAUAUGGGGUUAGUAACCUUUGGGAUUCUUUCUAGGAACAAAAUAGCAGCAUCCUCUUCUUGGAACUCUGGAAUUUAAAACACCCGCAGCAAUUAAUUAAGCAGCUCUUUAGUUUAAUGUUGGAGGUGUACAUUGCUUUGGGACCCCAAUUUUUUCUCUGGAACUGGAAGGUCUUUCUUGAGAAACGUCCUAAUUAAUGAAUGAUUUUUUGGUGCUGCAUAAUCUAAAAAACACAAAAAAAAAAAAACCCAAAACAGAAAAGGGGAAAAACAAAAGCCUUAAACAGAGAAGCCUGGUCAAAUUAGAUCUGUAACACUAUCAACCAAAACGCAACAGAAUUAAUGCAUUCAUUCAAUUUUCUCUAAAUCACCUUGAAUUUUUUUUUCAACAUUUUUAUUGGCUUUUUAAAAGAAACUGGGUUGAUGGGAAAGCUGGUUUGAAGGGAAAAUUGAAAAUGAUGACUAGCUCAAUUAAUAAGCAUUGGGCACAGAAGCCAUAUCUAUCAGACAACCAUGCAUCCUUAGUGCCAUUAACUCUAGAAUUCUAUACAAAUCUCAAACUUAAACUCCUAGUAACUUCUUCCCAAUCUUGCAUGCAGUAUAAGCAUCAGUUGUAGUUUUGCUCAAAGAACAAGUGACUCGAAAAUCAUAAUCAAAAUGUAGUUUAAGGAAAAGAAAAUGCAAAUUAAAUAUGCUUAUAAAAAGAAAUUUUGCCCUUGACAAAAUGACUAAAUAUCUUUACCUCUGACAAAAUUAAUAACAAGAUUUUCUGCUUUUGUUUUAUGAAUGCAACAUUGUGCUAAAAUAAGAUUGAGUUAUAACAGUAGGGAGCAUGAUUUUAUUGAGUUGGGUAUAUAUUCUCAACAUGAAAGGGCCAAUAAUAGUACUCAAAAUUCAUGUUAGUAACUCCAGAGUAAUCAUUAUGUAAGAGAUUUUGGGAUCAUCUUCCAAUAUACAAAUUGCAAAUGUUAAUGCACCUUUUGCAUUAACUAGAAAUCUCAAAUCUGAUUCCAAACAGAAAGUGGAAAUGAAGUUUAUGAUGAAAAAGAAGGACCAAAAUUCUCUCAGAUAAUCACCCUUUAACCCCAAAUUUUCACAAUAGAAAAGGUUAUUUAAAAUCUAUAUUCUCUUAAUUACAUGGUACUUUUUCUAACUUCUUCACAAUCUUGUGUGCAGCAUAAGCAUUACAGGAUCAAUAUAUCUGCUCCUCCAAUGAGACCCUGUUGCCAACAAAAUUAGACCAUGACAUGCCAGGGGACCUCAGCUUAAAUGGCCCCUCAGACCUUCAUAUGCCAAGCCUCUGCCCUUGCAUGCGCCAAGGUGAGCUUGAUGUCACCCUAAGCCUUUCAUGCUCUUUAUUUAUUUUCCAACUAAAUAAAGUAAAGAAAAGAAAGAAGGAGCGAGAGGUCGAAGGAUGCGGUUUUCACAAAUAAAGCAAGGAAGAGGAUCAAGUAAAUUAAGAAAACAAGGGCUACCCCACCAAUUUCUUUUGCAGAGAAAGCAGGCAAGCAUCAACUCCACUGCCCAAUAGCCUUCUCCCAACUUUGUAUGUAGCAUAAGCAUCAGUAGCUGCAGGCUCAACCAGCUCAAGACUAGGAAAACUGUCAGACCUAAUCGUCCAAAUGUCAAUCAUAAAAGCAUAUAAAUGAAAUUUUCAUGUAAAAGAAGAAAAUACAAGAAUUGCUUUCUAAUUUUCUUAUUUGACCAAAUAAAAAAAAAGUAAAGAAAAAUAUUUCCUCUCAAAGCCCAAUUACUCGGCCUAAUAUUUUUAAAAUAUUAGGAUUUAGUAAGAACAUUCAACCAAACAUUAAUAUUUUUAAAAUACCAUAAUAUUUAACACACCACAGGCAAUGGCAUCAGUCUUCCUUCAUCUCAAAUAUUAAUGAGUCCAAACAAUAAAAUUUAAUAAUUUUUAAAUCACAUCAUGAAGAUAAAUGAACACAUUUUAAAAUUUAUAUAAACCGUUCACAAGUAAAUUUAAACAGAAAUUAAACAUCUUACACAGAAAUUUUUUUAUAUAUAAAUACAGAAUUCAAUAUCUUUUUUCUUCUUGCCAACAGGAACAGUUCCUUAAUUUCUUUCACCACUAAGGUCGCCUCUGUGUUGACAUCCCUACAAAAGAUUUGGGCUAACUAUCAUGAAAUGGAGUUAUGCAAUACUAGUAAACUUAAAUUCAUGGAGGACACCAUAAAAGCAAGACCUUUAAAUGUACCUGUUUUCUUACUUCCUUCAACAAGUAGUCUCCUCACUACUUCCUGCAAAAGUUGGCAAGUCAACAGCAUAUCAAUACAAAUAAACGUAAAAUAUUUUUGGUGCUUUGAAGAAACUGUUAAGUAAGGACAUAUUUGAGAGAUUUUGCUGAAAGUGUUUGUUCUGGAGCUCAUCAUAUUGGAAAAUCCUAGCUAGAAACUUUUAUACUAGUGCCGAGCAAAAUCUUUAUUUUUUUUUCUCAAAUUUUUGAUAAUCUAUAUUAUAUAUAAAUGCUUUCCUCACCCGAGAUUACAGUUUUUAAACAGCAGAGCUGCCCUGAGUGCUUGGGCAUGAGCUAAAAUGGUCCUUUUUAUCCGAUCCUGCUCGUAGUCAACGAUUUCUACAGACAAGUUGGAUGGUGGGUUUAAGGCUUGAACUACCUCCUCUUUCUUUACAUCCGGAGAGAUCCUUACAUGCAUUUGCUUGAGAUGUAUCUUGUUGUGAAGCUUGGCUCUCUUAGCCUCAUCCCCAUCUAUUGCAUCUCCUACCAGGUCAACAUUAAUAUUUCCAGCAAGGAGGUCCAAGUGUUGUAGAUCUCCAAUGCUGAGUUCUUCAGCAUCAUUACGAUCUGCUCUCACUAUGAUUCUAUCUAAUCUCAUGAGAGAAGUUAAUUUACCGAUCCCUUUUGGGUAGUAAGUCAGACCAUCACAGAACCGAUCAAUAGAAAGAUACCUCAAGUUAAUCAAAUUCCCGAUUCCAACGGGAAGUUUCUUAAGACGAGGGCAGCACCGAAUAAUCAAGGAUUGUAAGUUACGCAAUUCACACACUGCUUCAGGUAAAUAUUCUAUAUCAUAGCAAUCAAUCAAGCUAAGGUACCUCAAGUGAAUCAACUUUCCUAUUUCACAGCAAAUUCCUUUCGCGCCUAGAUAAAGCAAGUCAAGCUCCAAUAAUCUCAGACGCUUGGAUUCACUGAACAAGUUCUGCAAGGCUUCAUUAGUUACACCAUUAAUGUCUCGAGAAACUGCUACUAGGCUUCGCAAUUUUUCAGUGCCGUUAACGGACAUAGGAAAACCUUUCCCGCCUUCAACCAACCUCAAAUGACGAGGUUUUUUGGAUGAUAAGUCCAACGUCAAAUCUACAUCCUCCUCUACAGCAAACUCGUAUUUUGUCAAAAAUUGGACAAAGUCGUGUAUCAUGUCAUGCAUCUUACAGGAUCGAAUGCUGCCGUCAACAUCUUCUUCAAACUCUUGGUAAAAAGAACGAGCUGCUAAGCAUGUAAAGUAAUCGUCACCUUGCAAUUCUCUCCCAAAAUUGUCAUCAGAGUUCAAAUAACCUUGUGCCAUCCAAUGCUGGAUCAGUUCAUCUUUACGAAAUUCAUAGUCCUUGGGAAAGAAUGCACAGUACAAUAAGCAUCGUCUUAUCGUUGAGGGCAAAUCAUAAUAACUCAAUAGUAAAGGUGAAAAGAUAUCUUGUGCAAACUUUGAUUUCCAUAUCUCACUAUUCAAAAUAUUUUGCCACUCUUCUCUUCGUACUUUAUCUCGCAGGAGACAUCCUAAAGUUUUUGCAGCAAGCGGCAAACCUUUACACUUUUUUGCAAUUUUCCUUCCAAUAUCCUCAAAAUAUUUACGCCUAUCCCUGCUUCCUUCGGUAAAUGCUAUUUGAGCAAUCAUCGACCAACAAAUCUCCUCAGAUAAUUGUUCUAGACGAAAGACAUGAGACACGUCCAUUUGCCUUGCAACUGAUUCCUUUCGAGUAGUUGCUAAAAUCCAACUUCCCGACAUGCCAUACUGAAAAGUAGCUUUAAACGGCUCCCAAUCUUGAUCACGAUCCGUCCACACAUCAUCUAAAACAAGAAAGAAUUUCUUUUCUUUAAUCCUUUCACGAAUGUCAUUUAAAAGAAUUUCCAGUGAAACUGGAUUUUGAAGGUUCGUUGAACCAGGGUGGAGGCCUCCAAGAAUUGCUCUAGCAAUUUGUGUUUGAUCAAAGGGGUCUGAGACACACACCCAAAUUUUGUUUUCAAAAUGAGUCUUAAUUCUAUGAUCAUUAUAAAUUAAUUGGGCAAGAGCUGUUUUUCCCAUUCCUCCCAUCCCUACUAUGGUGAUGGUAGGAAUAUUCUUGCAACUCCCUUCUUCACUAGUUCCAAAGAGCAAUGUACUUAUUAUGUCUUCUUUGACCCCAUCUCGACCAACUAUCUGUGACACAUCUACAAAAGAAGUGCUUUCUGACCGCUUAGGUUGCUUAAUUUCACUUUUUACCAAUUCAGUCCUAACUCUGUCUUUAGCAAUCUCGUCUACCUCUUCAUUGAUUUCUUUUAUUCUGGUAGCGAUGUCAUGACGCCUAGCAAUUUGUGAGCCAAAGGAAAAGCAGGAAACGAAGGCACAUACCUUCCUCUUUGGAACAGAAGAGGUUUCAACUCCAUCUGUUUGCAACUUGUCGAGUGCAAUCUUCCAGUCGUCCAAUACGUCUUCCAUGUCAUAAGAAACUUGUUUGAACCUAUCUAACCAAUGUUGGACACGUUUGUUGAUGAAUUGUUUUUCCUCCGCAUCUUCAAGCUCGCACUGGAUUGCCUUGAGAUUGUUUUCGAGCCUUUCGACUUCUUUCUCGACACCCGUCACCAGACUCCACUCUUCCCGUGCAUUCUCAGUUGCUAUUGCGGCCAGCUGUGGCAAGAUCGCGGAAACAAUAGCUUCGGCCAUAGGAUGCUUGAAGGUAGAGAAACCAGAAUUGAUGAAGUUUUAACUCUAAAAAGUCUCAGCAACUUUUUAGUAGUGGAGGUCUACUGUUUAUUUUAUCCAAUUAUUAUGAUACAUAUAAUUUAUUAUUCUUUUUUAAAAAACACACACUGAAAAAAUAUACUCAUCAUUUACCUUUUAUCCAUAUUCACUCUAAGUUUUUAAUUUCUCUAUUUUUUCUUAACUAAUUUUCUUUUUAUUUCAUGAGCCAUCAACAAUAAACUUGCAUUGAAAAUAAUGAAAAGAUUCACUAUUUUGUAAUAAGCGAUAAGGUUAAAAUUGGUUUGAGACUUUGGAAGACUGAAAAGAGCAAAAGUGAGGGAGAAGAAAUUUAUUUAAUUAAGACGCAGAUCUAGAGACAUGGCGUAAAUAUUAGUUUUGAGUGUACUACGUUUUUUCCACCAGCCACGUCACCAGUUUCCAUGUCAUGUUGUAGAUAUUAUUAUAUAAAUGAGUUGUGUGAAUUGUGAAUGCUAACCAGCUACCACCUCGGUCACUGUUGUGGUCCAACUCCAAUCGACCACAUUGUUAUUUAAAAUAACCAACCACCAUAUUUGGGCACCAUAAGGAUGGCCAAGAAACGCCAUUCUCAUUCCCUUAACGCAUAUUGUACCCUGCAUGUAGCCUUUACACUCAGCAUACCCCUUCUACCCGUGACACCUACAGAACUAAACCAAGGAAACUAAAAUAACCAGCAUCUUGCCAGGCCACAAAAAGACAUACAUCUAGCCCAGACAUGCUGUACCAAUAACUUGCAUCAUAUGGCUCCGAGUCAGAGAUACAUAUAGGCAGGGACUAAAACCAUUAGCCACUAACCUUGGAUUUUAACUCCAGCAUCAGAACACCAGGAGCAUAUCCUGCUCUCUUUGAAUCCCAGCUUUUGCAAUGGAGUCUGUCAGUCCAUUUGCUUCUAUGGGAGAGUGGGUAAUGCUCCAAUCUGAUAUGCAGUAUAACGUUCUCUUUUCUUUUUCAGUUUGAGUAUCCUAUUAAAACACAAGUACUAUAAUAUAUAAUAUAUAUAUAUUAUAAUAUAUAUGAUAUAUAUAUAUAUAUAUAUAUAUAUAUAAUGAAAAUUAAAAUUCUUAAGUUACAUGUUGUGAGAAUUGAAUGUCGGACUAUUUUUAAAAUUUUAGAAAACUUUAACCUCGAUUUAUUUUGUAAUAUGUGAUGGUAACUUUAAAUCAUUUCAUAUUUAAACCAUUCACUUUCUCAUAACUUCAAGCUGAUUUAGGUUAGAUUUUGGACAAGUUGAAAAGUUUUCUUGUCGACGUCCAUUUCGAAAUUUACUAAAUUCAAAAUUAAUCUAUUUAUUUAUAUUUAAAACUAUGUUUAUAUUUUUACUAGAAAAAAAGUAAUAACCUAAAUACUAAAAUAUUCACAAGAUGUUAAUUAAAAGAAAAUCACAGGGUGUCACAAAAAGUGUAAUUAUUAUCUAGAGAAUGGAAGUUGGCAUGAGACUUAAAAUCAAACCUUUUAUUUCUGUUUCAUACGAGUAAUAUAUGAUCUUAAAACUUGUCAUUUUGAACCCCUGGAUUCCAAGUAGAGUUUCAGAAACAGAGAAAUUCUUUGCAUCGAAAACUAAAACCAACACAAGUCAUUACUAUGUAAAACUUAAGAACGCAGCAUCUUGAAUCUGAAUAUAAACGAAACGUUGUUAAACAAUCCGUCUCAUCCAUUCCUACAAAUUGUACUGCAGCAGUUAAUUUAACUUGAAAUGAAGAUGCAUCUAUAUAUCAGGUUUGGACGAAUCAUUCAUCAGCCAUGAAUUAAUGCUUAAGAAACUAAUGAGUAAUGGCAUAUGAUCUAACCAUAUCUCAGACUCAAUCUCCCAAUUGCUUCUUCCCAAUCUUGUAUGCAGCAUGGGCAUCAGCUGAUGCACAUUCAAUCAGCUUUUGUGGGACAUCUGCCCUGGAAUAAUGACCUGAUAUCAUACUGGAGGGCCUUGCCUUAAAUGGCACUCAAAGACGUUGUUGUGCUAAGCUUCUCACACCAAAUGCACGAAGGCGAGGCUGAUGGAGUACAUCAGCUGCUAAUUCACUCACAUCAACUACAUUUCUAAUUUCAAGCCUGUACUUCUCCCACAGCUCUUUCACAUCUCCCUGUAAAUUUACACCAGCAAAAAUUAUGUCCUUGUGAGUGAGGACAAAAUAUCAGCAUUCUCUUCUUGGAACUCUGGAAUUUAAAACACCUGCUGCAGUUGAUUUAGCAGCACUGCAUUUUAAUGUUGGUGAACAGAGCUUGGGACCCCAAUUUCAUCUUUGGAACUGGAAGGUCUUUCUUGAGAAAAGUCCUAAUUUAUGAAUGAUUUUUUGGUGCUACAUGAUCUUAAACACAGAAAAGAACAAACAGAAAAGGGGAAAAAACACGAGCCUUAAAGAGAGAAGUCUGGUCAAAUUAGAUUUAUCUUUUUUUUUUUUUUUUUUGUUUGAAGGUUAAGUUGGAUUCAUCAUAUCGAAGAAGGAAAAUCCUUACAUUUACAAAAGAGAGGUAGAACUCAGCUGGAAAGAAAGCAGCCGAGUUACUAACCUUAGAGUGGCUUACAAAAAACAGCGAUCGGCAGAACCUGUGAAAGAAAACAGGAUUCACAAAAUCUAACCUAUUACCUCAAAAUCUCACCAUAUCUACAAAGGUAUAAACGAAUUAUCUGUUGAAAAGUAGUUUUAUUAGCACUAAGCCACUAUGUCUUUGAAAGUAUCUAAUCUCACCAUAUCUGCAAAGACUUCCAAUGGUAUUAAAAUGCAUGGGUGAAGCUGUGCAAUUUCACUAGGAAACCAGCAAUCAAAAGUUGUCUUAAUCAGUUUCCUGUUUCCGUCCCUAUAUUGAGCUGGACAUUAAGAUACAAAGCAAGCUCUCUACCCUUUUCCUAAUUCCUGAGCAGUACAAAAACAAAAUCUCAAAAAGAUAAUCAACACUACCUACUAACCCACAAUCCCAGGCUCUGCAUGACUAACUUAUCUCCUACAAUUCAGUCAAAUUUUCUCUUGAAACACUUUGAAUUUGGAAGAGUAAAAUCAAUUCAUUAACCUUCUCCAUUGUUUGCUUGUACUAACCAAACCAAGAAACUUUAAAUUUCAUGUAGGCAUUGAUCUUGCAAUUUUCCGUGGACAACAAAUAGACUGCAAAACAAGAAUUGUGGAAUAUAUAGGGAAAAAGAUAAGGAGUAUCCAUGGGAAUUCCUUUAUCCCAAAACCGAGCAGCUUGUAUAUAAAGUACUUCAUAAAAGUCCUCAAAAGUAGAGUAGCUAUAUAUAGAGGAAAAAGGAUUUCGUAAGAAGAUUCAAGCAAACAUUAAUAUUUUUAAAAUGCCAUAAUAUUUAACACACCACAGGCAAUAGCAUCAAUCACCCUUCAUCUCAAACAUUAAUGGGUCCAAACAAUAAAAUUUAAUAAUUUUUAAAUCACACCAUAAAGAUAAAUGAACACACUUCAAAAUUUAUAUAAACCAUUCACAAGCAAAUCCAAACAGAAAUUAAAAUCGUGACAGAUACACACAGUCUUAUAGAUUUUGAAUAAUUACACACAGAAUCUUUUAUAUACAUAUACAUACAGAAUUCAAUAUUUUUUUUCUUCUUGCCAUCAAGAACAAUUCCUUUCUUUCACCACUAAGGUCCCCUCUGUGUUGACAUCCCCACAAAAGAUUUGGGCUAACUAUCAAGGAAUGGAGUUAUGAAAUACUAGUAAACUUAAAUUCAUGGAGGACAUCAUAAAGCGAGACCUUUAAAUAUACCUGUUUUAAUACUUCUUUCAAUAACUAGUCUUCUCACUACUUCCUGCAAAAAUUGGCACGUCCCCAGCAUAUCAAUACAAAUAAACAUAAAAUUUUUGGUGCUUUGAAAAAAGUGUCAAGCGAGGCCAUAUGUUUGAGUGUGGAGAAAUACGAAGUUCAAAGAGUAGAUUUUGCUGAAAUCUUUGUUCUGAAGCACAUCAAUCUGGAUUCUAGCUAGAAAACCUUUUACACUAGUGCAAAGCAAAAUCUGUUUCUCAACUAUUGAUUAUGGCCCGUUGGAUUAAUUAAGGGCCAAUCUGUGACCAUUUUUACCAGAGCCCUUUUCUUCUUUUUCUUAUUGAAAGUUGGACUGGUAACAAUCUAGAGAGUAAAAAGGAUUAGCGCCAAUCUGCCUUAAAUUAAUGUUUAACAGAAAUAUAAGGAUUUCAGUUUCGAUAAGAAAAGAAAAACAACCAAAAUUGAUAAUUAAAUAAUUAUUGUAAAAAAAAAUAAUUAGUUUUACUAGUUUUAGGUAUUAUUACAAAAAUAAUAAUUAAUUUUAAUAGCUUUCUAAGUAUUAUUACAAUAAUAAUUAUUUAUAAUACUAUCAACCAAAACUCAACAGAAUUAAUUCAUUCAUUCAUUCUAUUUGCUUUAAAUGACCUCGAUUUUUUUUUUGUCAACAUUUUUAUUGGCUUUUGAAAGAUGCUGGUAUUCUUAACUCAACCAAUAAGGAAAUUUAUUUCUUAAGUUGGCUCAGUUAAUUCUUAAAAUAACCUGGUGUGGUCGUGGCUUUUGAGUUAGUGGCUUUCAUCAUUGAGCCAUGUCAUUCCACUUUAGAAGCGAGGAUAAAAAAGAAUAAAAGGGUUUGGAAAAAUAAUGCUUACCAAGCAUGCUAACCUAGGCGUAAACCAAUUCACAUACCCAAAAGAACAUGUCAGUCACGAAACAGAGGAGCUUGAGGUUCGAGGAACUUACUGUCACUUGUUCCUGCCCACAAGGCGUCAUGGAAGUCUCAUAUCAGGUUAAAUUUCAAGAUCCUAAUUUAAAGCUACCAACACUUGUUUCAAUCCAAUUCUGUCUUUUCUUAGACAAGGUUGGUAUAAUAUAAAAAGGAUGAAUCUUUGGGAUAAUUUUAGUGAAUAUAUUAGCAAUGUAAGGAAUCUCAAAUUGAUUGAUCAGUUCAAUUGAUUUUCGAUAGCUUGAUUAAGUUAGUUGGAUUGGACCUCUCCGUUCCUAUACAUUCCCAGUUGUUCCAAUGCAUAUUACAAAUUGUUAAUGUAAUUUUUCUUUAACUUUAAGAAAACAAAUCAAACUCCAAACUGAAAACAAUGACAAGCUUUUUCGAUAAGCAUUGGAUCACAUGGGAUAGAAACAGAAGCCAUCUCUAUCAGAUAACCAUGCAUCCUUAAUGCCACGAACUCUAGAAUUCUACGCAAAUCUCUAACUUAAAACUCCCAUAGCAUGCUUGGUUGGAAAUAUAAUAGUCAUUCCGAAGAAUAACUAUUAUGUAGAUUAGUUCAUGAGAAUAGAAUAGGAUAAAAAUUGUUAUUAUUACUUAUUUUAUUGUUUGGUUGGCAGGAAUAAUUUUAAGAAUAGUUAAGGAAUAAUGGAUAAAUGAUAAAAUACUCUUUAUUAAAAUUUAAAAAUUUUGUUAUUAAAAAACAAAAAUACUAUGAUCAGAAAAAAAUACUAUAUAUUAAAAUUAAAAAAUUAUUUUGUUAAAAGAUAAAAAUAUUCUAAGCAAUAAAAUCAAAAUAGCUUUUACUAUAAUUAAAUAAUAUUUUCACCAAAAUACAAAUAUAUUUUUAUUAUAAUUUAAUAAUAUUUUGUAUUAAAAGAUAAUUGAACCUUUUGUUAUAAUUAAAUAAUAUUUAAUAUUAAAAGAUAAAAUAUAUUCUUCAUUAAAUUUAAAUAAUAGUAAAUAAUAUUCUUUAUUACAUUUAUUAUAUUCGAAUAAUAAUAUUAAAUAAUAUGCUUUAUAAUAUUUAUUAUAGUUAAAUAAUAUUUAAAUAGUUUUAUUUCUUUUUUUUUGAAAAUGAAGUAAAAAAUUUUGUGCCUUUUGUGCUUUAGAGAGAAAAGGAGUAAGGAAUAAAGAGAAAAAAAUAGGUUUAGUAUUUUUUUAUAAGAUUAUUUUUUAAAUUGUAAAAAAAUAUAUUUGUCUAAUCAAUUUUUUUUUAUUCCUAACAAUUUGGAAUAGUCAUUAUCAAAAAGGGCCUUGGUAAUGGCUAUUUAGGCUUCUCUUAAAAUAAUUAUUUCGAAAAAUAGCUAUACCAUUGAAUCAAAUAUAGUUUUAUCUCAAAAAUGAGAAUAGGGAAAGAAUGGCUAUUCCAUUCCUCCAACCAAGCAUGCCGCUAGUAACUUCUUCCCAAUCUUGUAUGCACCAUAAGCAUCAUUUGUUACACAUACAAGCUGGUCUUCCAUGAGAUCUUUUUCCAUCCUAUCAACUCCAACCAUGCUUGAAGACCUUGUCUUAUAUUGCGCCAAGAGAAACUCAGAUGCCAGUAUUCUCACACCAACUGCACGUAGACGUGGUUGGUGAAAUACAUCAGCUGCCAAUUCACUAAGAUCCACAGCAUUUCUAAUUUCUAGCCCGAAUCUUAUACAACAUGAACUUGCAGAUUCAAUCUGCUCAUGCUGUGAGACCUGUUGCCAACCAAAACAGAGCAAGAUAAGCCAGGGGACCUUGGCUUAAAUGCGCCCUCAGAACUUCAUAUGCUAAUUAGCCCCUGCCCUCAAAUGAGCCAAAGUGAGCCUUCUAAAAAUCUCAAGUGCAUUGGCUGCCAAUUUGCAUGGAUCCACUACAUUGUUUGUUUGUACUAAACCAAACCAAGAAACUCUAAAUUUCAUAUAGGCAUUGAUCUUGCAAUUUUCUGUGAACAACAAUAGACUGCAAAACAAGAAUUGUGGAAUAUAUAGGGAAAAAGAUACGGAGUAUCCAAGAGAAUUCCUUUAUCCCAAAACCCAGCAGCUUGUAUAUAAUGUACUUCAUAAAAGGCCUCAAAAGUAGAGUAGCUAGAGAGGAAAAAGAAAUGGUAAGAUGAUUCAAGCAAAGCAUAUCUAAUGGAAUUAAUAUUUGCAAAGUAUCAUAACAUCUAGAACCCUCCCAGGCAAUAGCAUCAGUCACCCUUCAUCUCAAACAUAGAUGGGUCCGAACAAUAAAAUAUAGUAGCCUUUAAAUCACACAAUAAACAAAAGUGAACACCUUCGAAAUAUAUAAACCAUUCACAAAGAAAUCUAAACAGAAGCUAACAAUAGCAGCAGACACACAAAGUCCUACAAUUUUUUUUUUUACACAUAUUUUAAGUACAAAAUACCUAGAAUUCAACAUUUUGUUUUCUUGCUGCCAUCAAGAACAGUUGCUUAAUUUCUUUUAUCACGAAGCUAGUCCCUUGAGAACCCUGCAAAAGAUUCGGACUAACUAUCAUGGAAUGGAGUUAUAAAAUACUAGUAAACUUAAAUUCAUGGAGGACAUGAUAAAAGCAAGACCCUUAAAUGUACCUCUCUAAUUCUUCGGAUAACAUGUCGUGAAAUUUAAUCUGCAAAAUGGGGCAUGUUUAAGUGUUAAAAAUAAAAUAAAAUUUUUAGUACUUUGAAGAAAGUGUUAAGUGAGGACAUGUUUGAGUGUGGAGAAAUAUAACGUUUAAAGUGUCCAUUCUGCUGAAAUUCUUUGUUCUGGAGCUCAUCAUAUUGGAUUCGAGCUAGAAAAACUUUUUAUACUAUGGCAAAGCAAAAUCUUUAUUUUUUUUUUCUCAAAUUUGUUAAUCUAUAUUAUAAGAGAAGAAAAUGCUUUUCUCACCAACUUGCUACCAAGAACUUACCAUAUAUGCAUUUUGCAUAAUGUGAUUAGCAAAACGUACAAUAAGUAUUGGAUGAAAUUCUACAAAAUUGAAAAUGAUGACUAGCUCUUUUAAUAAGCAUUGAUACAGAAGCCAUAUCUAUCAGACAACCAUGCAUCCUUAAUGCCAUUAACUCUAGAAUUCUAUACAAAUCUCAAACUUAAAAUUCCUAGUAACUUCUUCCCAAUCUUGCAUGCAGUAUAAGCAUCAGUUGUAGUUUUGCUCAAAGAACAAGUGACUCCAAAAUCAUAAUCAAAAUGUAGUUUAAGGAAAAAGAAAAUGCAAAUUAAAUAUGCUUAUAAAAAGAAAUUUUGCCCUUGACAAAAUGACUAAAUAUCUUUACCUCUGACAAAAUUGAUAACAAGAUUUUCUGCAUUUGUUUUAUGAAUGCAACAUCGUGCUAAAAUAAGAUCGAGUUAUAACAGUAGGGGGCAUGAUUUUAUUGAGUUGGGUAUAUAUUCUCAACAUGAAAGGGCCAAUAAUAGUACUCAAAAUUCAUGUUAGUAACUCCAGAGUAAUCAUUAUGUAAGAGAUUUUGGGAUCAUCUUACAAUAUACAAAUUGCAAAUGUUAAUGCACCUUUUGCAUUAACUAGAAAUCUCAAAUCUGAUUCCAAACAGAAAGAGGAAAUGAAGUUUAUGAUGAAAAAGAAGGACCAAAAUUCUCUCAGAUAAUCACCCUUUAACCCCAAAUUUUCACAAUAGAAAAGAUUAUUUAAAAUCUAUAUUCUCUUAAUUACAUGGUACUUUUUCUAACUUCUUCACAAUCUUGUGUGCAGCAUAAGCAUUACAGGAUCAAUAUAUCCGCUCCUCCAGUGAGACCCUGUUGCCAACAAAAUUAGACCAUGACAUGCCAGGGGACCUCAGCUUAAGUGGCCCCUCAGACCUUCAUAUGCCAAGCCUCUGCCCUUACAUGCGCCAAGGCGAGCUUGAUGUCACACUAAGCCUUGCAUGCUCUUUAUUUAUUUUCCAACUAAAUAAAGUAAAGAAAAGAAAGAACGAGCGAGAGGUAGGAGGUUGCGGUUUUCACAAAUAAAGCAAGGAAGAGAUCAAGUAAAUCAAGAAAACAAGGGCUACCCCACCAAUUCCUUUUGCAGAGAAAGCAGGCAAGCAUCAACUCCACUGCCCAAUAGCCUUCUCCCAACUUUGUAUGUAGCAUAAGCAUCAGUAGCUGCAGGCUCAACCAGCUCAAGACUAGGAAAACUGUCAGACCUAAUCGUCCAAAUGUCAAUCAUAAAAGCAUAUAAAUGAAAUUUUCAUGUAAAAGAAGAAAAUACAAGAUUUGCUUACUAAUUUUCUUAUUUGACCAAAUAAAAAAAAGUAAAGAAAAAUAUUUGCUCUCAAAGCCCAAUUACUUGGCCUAAUAUUUUCCCAAAUAGGCCUUACACAAAGGCUGGUGCAAGGGGAGGUUGGCCACACAACCCAAUCCCUCCCUCAAGUUCAGCUUCACAUUACCUCAGGGACCAUAUCCACAAAGCUUAGCUUAGUCCAAAACUCAUCCAGGCCGAGCCUACUUAAUAAACUAUAUCCUUCACGGUAUCUUCCCCCUCAUGAUGAAAUGAUUGGGAGAAGUGGCGAUGUGGGGGCAUAAACCAAGAAACUCUAAAUUUCAUAUAGGCAAUGAUCUUGCAAUUUCUGUGAACAACAAAUAGACUGCAAAACAAGAAUUGUGGAAUAUAUAGGGAAAAAGAUGAGGAGUAUCCAUGGGAAUUCUCUUAUCCCAAGACCCAGCAGCUUGUACUUCAUAAAAGGCCUCAAAAGUAGAGUAGCUAGAGAGGAAAAAGGAUUUAGUAAGAACAUUCAACCAAACAUUAAUAUUUUUAAAAUACCAUAAUAUUUAACACACCACAGGCAAUGGCAUCAAUCUUCCUUCAUCUCAAAUAUUAAUGAGUCCAAACAAUAAAAUUUAAUAAUUUUAAAAUCACAUCAUGAAGAAAAAUGAAUACACUUCGAAAUUUAUAUAAAACGUUCAUAAGUAAAUUCAAAUAGAAAUUAAACAUCUUACACAGAAAUAUUUUUAUAUAUACAUACAGAAUUCAAUAUCUUUUUUCUUCUUGCCAUCAGGAACAGUUCCUUAAUUUCUUUCACCACUAAGGUCAUCUCUGUGUUGACAUCCCUACAAAAGAUUUGGGCUUACUAUCAUGAAAUGGAGUUAUGAAAUACUAGUAAACUUAAAUUCAUGGAGGACACCAUAAAAGCAAGACCUUUAAAUGUACCUGUUUUCUUACUUCCUUCAACAACUAGUCUCCUCACUACUUCCUGCAAAAGUUGGCAAGUCAACAGCAUAUCAAUACAAAUAAACAUAAUUUUUUUUUUUUGUGCUUUGAAGAAAGUGUUAAGUAAGGACAUAUUUGAGAGAUUUUGCUCAAAGUGUUCGUUCUGGAGCUCAUCAUAUUGUAGACACUAAAAUUAUAAACACAAAAAUGAAUCAAAAAUAUAUAUAUACAUAUAAUAAAAAUAAUUUUAAAAAAAAAUGAAAAAUGAAAAAAGAAGGGAGAGAGGUACGACUGGCAGGGUGCGGCGCCUCCCUCACCCUGCCAGACGCGAAAAAUUUGUGUCUGGCAGGGUAGUGGAGCGUGCCCCUAAUGCCCAAGGACAAGGCAGUGGAGCAUGCCCCCUCCAGAGCCCAGGAAUCGGGUAUAAAGGGGAGGGGGCACUGUAGCAUCCGGGAGGAGGAUCUUGGCAACAAAUGAAAACCAAAAAAACAAACAACAAAAAAACCUUAGACUCUAGCAGCCAAAAACCACAAUCCACCAUCAAAAGAAAUAUACUAGAAAGAAUCAGAAAAAUAAAAAAGGAAUAGAAAAAUCACAAUGAGAUAAAGCAGGCGGCUGUGUCUCUUUUUGGGAAUUUUUUUUUUUUUUUGGGUUUGUUUUUUUAGAGAGAUUUAGGGGAAUUUCAUGCUACUGUUUGGAGAAAUCUUGGGCUUUUGGGUGAGAGAGGAGAAGGAGGAAGCCAGCGCCGGUAGGAGAUAGAGGCGUCGGCAGUAGAGAGAGAGUGAGAGUUAAGGUUCUUUUUUGGGUCCGAUUUUAUUGCCGCCGGUCAAAGUAAGAAAGCUUUGGGCUUUUACACCGCCGGUAGGCCGAAGUUUGGUUGGAGCCGACGAAAAAGGGGGAGAGCCCGAUCUGGGUAGUCGACGAGAAGAAAGAGGAGAUAGAGAGAGAGAGGCGGAGCCGCGGCACCAGAUCUAGUAACGGUGCAGUGCUAGCGAUAGUGAAGAUCGGGUGAGAGGGCGGAAAGGAGAGGAAUGGUAAGUGAAGAGAGGGAGAUCUUGGGUAAGAGAGAGCAAAAAAAAAAAGAAGUUUAGAGAGAUUGAGUAGCCGGCCAUUAGAGAGAGAAAAUAGAGGAAAAGUGAAGAAGAAGGGAGGUUCCAAAGGUUAAAAAUGGCACCGUUUUGACUUACCCAAAACCCCCUUUCGACUACAAAGCGACAUCGUCUCGGUGUUGGAGGGAGUGGCUGUUCCUAGCAAGGUAAAUUCUUCAUUUUUUAUUAUUAUUAUAGAUAUAUUGCCCUGAUUUUGUGGUGCUAAGUUUGACUUAAAAUUUAUAUAAAAAAAAAAGCUAAUUAGUUUCAUUAGAGCAUUAAUUUAGUUAAAAUACAUACGAUAUUUAGCAGAUUGUUUGUUUAAAAAAUAUAUAUAAAUGUGGGAAAAGAUGAAAUGUGGAACAUAUUUACGAGAUACAUAGUCAUGAAAAUUUAUGUAGAGAUAAUAAGAGUGAAAAUAAAUUAGGAAGAACUAGAAUUAAAAUACGAUGAAACAAAAUAUGGAAAAAUCAAAUUAGGUGAAAAAUGUAGUUCUAUAUAAAUGGAGAGAGAAUAAAAAUAGGAUAAGAUAAAGAACUAUUUAAUAUAAAUAAGAUAACUGCUCAAUUUGAUACCGAUGAUAGGAUGAUCGGUCGGGAUGCGAGAAGUCGCAAUCUCGGGCUUAUAUUCCUUAGGUUCGGAAUCCGAAUCAAGGCUCCACCAGUACGAUAGGAGGGCCUCUAUUUCAAGAUUCCGAAAUUCUUAAUAAAUAAAGAGUUUGAUUAUACAAAAAAAAAUUACUUGAUAAAUAAUAAUAAAUAAUAAAUGAUAAAAUAAUAACAAUUCAGACAUAUAAUAAAUAAUUAAUUUGUGAAAAUACAUUAUACAUGACAUUAAAUAAAUAAAAAUUAAAUAAAUCAUAGUAAAAAAAUAAUAAUAAAUUUAAAAUUAAGCAUUGAGUAUUAAGUGGCAUAAACUAUAAAAAAAAUAAUAAAUAUAUAUGUAUGAAAUAAGAUCUUAGGCAUUAGGUUUGAAUAAAGGAUUGCUUUAUGAAAAAUAUAAUAAUAAUAAAAAAGUAAAAAUAUAUAAAAAUAAAAAAUAGUAUAUAAAAAAUAAUAUAAAAGUUUUGUUCACUAAAAUAAUAUAGAAUUAUAAACAAUUUGUCUAACUAUAAGUGAAAAACAUAAAAACUUAGAACAAAAAAUGUAAAGAUAAAGAUAAAAAUAAUAAUAAUAAUAAGAAAUAAGAAUAGGAAAUAUGAUAAUAAAAUAUAUAAUAAAAUAAAAAUAAUUAAUAAUAACAAAAAAUAUAGAUAAUUGCAUUAGCAUAGCAUAUAUGUAUUGCAUCAUACAUAUCAUUGCAUAUAAAUAUUUCUGUUUUCGAGUUUAAGCCCCGAUGACGAAAUCUUCCGGGGAUCCUGCGAAGGCGGGUAUUUCUCGAAAAGUUCCUUAGGUGAAAAAAUGUCCUCGGAUCCUACCAGUAUGAUGGGAGGGCUCGAGAACCAUCUUUAAUAAAAGGUUUUUACCCGAAUUAGGUUCAUUAUGCACAAAAAUAUUAUUUUAAAAAGAAAACGGACGAUGACCCCGAUGACAGGAAUUAUUCGUCGAAUUUGCGAAGGCGAGUUUCUCGGAUAAUUCCCUAGGUGAGAGAAUAUCCCGAGUCCCACCAGUAUGAUGGGCGGAUUCGGAAAAAUAUCCUCGAUAGAAGGUUAUAUGUCCGGCAUUUUUAUCUCACGCCAUGCAUUUAAUCUCGCCACCCAUUUACAUUCCAUUUUAUGUUAAAUAGGAGAUAAAAAUAAAAGAAUAAUAAUUCAGAAAAUGUAAUGAAAUUAAAAAUUAAAGCCCAAUAGGAUAAUCUAAAAAUGAUACCGUUCAUGGAACGGACGUCCGAGGGGUACUAAUCCUUUCUCGGGCGUAACCGUACUCCCGAACCUAGAUCUAGAAAAUCGUAGACCGGUUUAGGGUUCUUUUCGGUGGGCUUAAAAUUAAUUUAAGUCUUCAUCGAUUAGAAUCGAGUCAAUAGGUGGCCAAUCGCACCUAGUAAAAAAAAAAAGAUUGGUAGCGACUCCUAAUUUAAUUUUUUUUUUAGUGAGUUUUUCACGUUUGCGUCUGGCGGUCGGGUUCCCGGACCUGCACGUUACGACACAUAUUGGAAAAUCCUAGCUAGAAACUUGUAUACUAGUGCCGAGCAAAAUCUUUAUUUUUUUCUCAAAUUUUUCAUAGUCUAUAUUAUAUAUAAAUGCUUUCCUCACCCGAGAUUAGAGUUUAAAGCCCCGAGCUUCCGCGAGAGAAGCGGCAAAAACUACCAUGGCCAUUUCUUCCAGAUCCAGCUUGCUGUCAACGAUUACUAUAGACAAGUUGGAUGGUGGGUUUAAGGCUUGGACUACCUCGUCUUCCUUUAUACCCGGAGAGAUCCUUACAUACAUUUGCUUGAGAUGUAUCUUGUUGUGAAGCUUGGCUCUCUUAGCCUCAUCCCCAUCUAUUGCAUCUCCUUCCAGUUCAACUUUAAUAUUUCCAGCAAGGAGGUCCAAGUGUUGUAGAUCUCCAAUGCUGAGAUCUUCAGCAUCAUUACGAUCUGCUCUCACUAUGAUUCUAUUUAAGCUCAUGAGAGAAGUUAAUUUACCGAUCCCUUUUGGGUAGUAAGUCAGACCAUAACAGCACUCAAUAGAAAGAUACCUCAAGUUAAUCAAAUUCCCGAUUCCAAUUGGCAAUUUCUUAAGACGAAAGCAGUGCCGAAUAAUCAAGGAUUGUAAGUUACGCAAUUCACACACUGCUUCAGGUAAAUAUUCUAUAUUAUAGCAACCAUUCAACCUAAGGUACCUCAAGUGAAUCAACUUCCCCAUUUCACAGCAAAUUCCUUUCGCGCCUAGAUAAAGCAAGUCAAGCUCCAAUAAUCUCAGACGGUUGGAUUCACUAAACAAGUUCUGCAAGGCUUCAUUAGUUGCACCAUUAAUGUCUCGAGAAACUGCUACUAGGCUUCGCAAUUUUUCAGCGCCGUUAAUGGACAUGGGAAAACCUUUCCGGCCUGCAACCAACCUCAAAUGACGAGGUUUUUUGGAUGAUAAGUCCAAUGUCAAAUCUACAUCCUCCUCUAUGGCAAACUCGUAUUUUGUCAAAAAUCGGACAAAGUCAUGUAUCAUGUCAUGCAUCUUACAGGAUAGAAUGCUGCCAUCAACUUCUUUUUUAAAAUCUUGGUAAAAAGAACGAGCUGCUAAGCAUGUAAAGUAAUCUUCACCUUGUAAUUCUCUCCCAAAAUUGACAUCAGAGUUCAAAUAACCUUGCGCCGUCCAAUGCUGGAUCAAUUCAUCUUUACGAAUUACAUAGUCCUUGGGAAAGAAUGCACAGUACAAUAAGCAUCGUCUUAUCGUUGGGGGCAAAUCAUAAUAACUCAAUAGUAAAGGUGAAAAGAUAUCUUGUGCGAAAUUUGAUUUCCAUAUCUCACUAUUCAAAAUAUUUUGCCACUCUUCUCUUCGUACUUUAUCUCGCAGGAGACAUCCUAAAGUUUUUGCAGCAAGCGGCAAACCUUUACACUUUUUUGCAAUUUUCCUUCCAAUAUCCUCAAAAUAUUUACGCCUAUCCCUGUUUCCUUCGGUAAAUGCUAUUUGAGCAAUCAUCGACCAACAAACCUCCUCAGAUAAUUGUUCCAGACGAAAGACAUGAGACAAGUCCAUUUGCUUUGCAACUGAUUCCUUUCGAGUAGUUGCUAAAAUCCAACUUCCCGACAUGCCAUACUGAAAAGUAGCUUUAAACGGCUCCCAAUCUUGAUCACGAUCCGUCCACACAUCAUCUAAAACAAGAAAGAAUUUCUUUCCUUUAAUCCUUUCACGAAUGUCUUUUAAAAGAAUUUCCAGUGAAACUGGAUUUUGAAGGUUCGUUGAACCAGGGUGGAGGCCUCCAAGAAUUGCUCUAGCAAUUUGUGUUUGAUCAAAGGGGUCUGAGACACACACCCAAAUUUUGUUUUCAAAAUGAGACUGAAUUCUAUGAUCAUUAUAAAUUAAUUGGGCAAGAGCUGUUUUUCCCAUUCCUCCCAUCCCUACUAUAGUGAUGGUACGAAUAUUCUUGCAACUCCCUUCUUCACUAGUUCCAAAGAGCAAUGUACUUAUUAUGUCUUCUUUGACUCUAUCUCGACCAACUAUCUGUGACACAUCCACAAAAGAAGUGCUUUCGGACCGAUUAGGUUGCUUAAUUUCACUUUUUAUCAAUUCAAUCCUAACUCUGUCUUUAGCAAUCUCGUCUAACUCUUCAUUGAUUUCUUUUAUUCUUGUAGCGAUGUCAUGACGCCUAGCAACUUGUGUGCCAAAGGAAAAGUACGAAGAUAAGGGCCAUACCUUCCUCCUUUUAACAGAAGAGGUUUCAACUCCAUCUGUUUGCAACUUGUGGAGUGCAGUCUUCCAGUCGUCCAAUACGUCUUCAAUGUCGUAAGAAACUUGUUUGAACCUAUCUAACCAAUAUUGGACACGUUUGUUGACGAAUUGUUUUUCCUCCCCAUCUUCAAGCUCGCACUGGAUCGCCUUGAGAUUGCUUUUAAGCCUUUCGACUUCUUUAUCGACGCCCGUCACCAGUCUCCACUCUUCCCGUGCAUUUUGAAUUGCUAUUGCGGCCAGCUCCGGUAAGAUCACGGAAACAAUAGCUUCGGCCAUAGGAUACUUGAAAGUAGAGAAACCAGAAGCGAUGAAGUCAACUCUAAAAACUCAGUGGGUAAUUUGGAAGGGAGAGGAAAAAGUAGUGGAGAGAAGAGAUCCACUGCUUCUAUACCCAAUUAUUACAAUACAUAUAUCGUUAAGAAUAAUACUUGCAUGACUCGGUGUCCGUGUAUGUGCAGUUACUGAUUAUUUAAAUAAAGACAUGCAGUUAUUUGUAAUAAAUUAUUUUUAUUUUUUUUUAAACACUUGUAAUUCAUGCCUUAAUACUUAAAUUCAUGUCUUGACAAGUGUUAUGCAUGUAAUUAUUUUUUUCGUGUAUAAAUAGGGAUGUUUAAUUUGAAUAAAGUGUGCCUUUAUCAGAAUAAUUUUUGUUCUUCUUUAAAAUUUCUUCUCUAAUUUAUUGCUUCAGACAACAACUUUAGUUCCGUCCAUACUUUAUCUUCAUAUAUAAUCUUUUUCUUUUCUUUUUCUAUAGAACACAAUGGAAAUAGUAUACCGGAGCCAUCAACAAUAUUUAAAGAUGGAAGAUUUUCAAGUAAUUGGGAUUGUUUUUUUCCACAAUGUUUUGCUUUUAAAAAGAGAAGAAAACAAUGUUGUAAAAUCAUGACGUUAGAUUGGAACUCAUAGAGAUAGAUAUCCACCAACGGAUGGGAUCUUCUCAAGGUCUGAACACUGAUUAAACUUUCCAAAAGUGAGUGCGCUAGGCGGCGGGGGAAGAAUAAAUUUUCUAUGUAACACCUCGCUCAUCCGUGGUGGGUCAACAUUGUCGUUAGGUGAAGGAAAUGUCAAGGAAACUUCUCUAUAGGGACAUCAUACAUUCAUACUUGACCAAUGAUUUUACGGUGCCACAUGAUCUUAAAAAAAUACAAAAACAAGCCUUAAACAGAGAACACGGUUCAAAUUUGGUUUGAAACAUUAUCAACCAAAACUCAGCAAUCUCCCUGGUAUUCUUAACUCAACCGGCAAGGAAAUUAAUGUGGCAAAAGUGUCAAGUCGAUUCAGCUAAAAAACCUGCUGUAGCCUGGCUUUUGAGUUAUUGAAAAGAAUAAAGUGAGUAAAAGUGGUUGAUUUGUAACGCUAUCAACCAAGACCCAACAGAAUUAAUUCAUUCAUUCAAAUUUCUCUAAAUCACCUUGAAUUUUUUUUUUCAACAUUUUUAUUGGCUUUUAAAAGAAACUGGGUUGAAGGGAAAGCUGGUUUGAAGGGAAAAUAGAAAAUGAUGACUAGCCCUUUUAAUAAGAAUUGGAUACAGAAGCCAUAUCUAUCAGACAACCGUGCAUCCUUAAUGCCAUUAACUCUAGAAUUCUAUACAAAUCUCAAACUUAAACUCCUAGUAACUUCUUCCCAAUCUUGCAUGCAGUAUAAGCAUCAGUUGUAGUUUCGCUCAAAGAACAACUGACAAUCAAAAUGUAGUUUAAGGAAAAAGAAAAUGCAAAUUAUACAUGCUUCUAAAAAGAAAUUUUGCCUUUGACAAAGUGACUAAAAUUCUUAACCUCUGACAAAAUUAAUAACAAGAUUUUCUGCAUUUGUUUCAUGAAUGCAACAUUGUGCUAAAAUAAGAUUGAGUUAUGACAGUAGGGGGCAUGAUUUUAUUGAGUUGGGUAUAUAUUCUCAACAUGAAAGGGCUAAUAAUAGUACGCAAAAUUCAGGUUAGUCACUCAAGAAUAAUCAUUAUGUAAGAGAUUUUGGGAUCAUCUUCCAAUAUACAAAUUGCAAAUGUUAAAAGCACCUUCUGCUUUAACUAGAAAUCUCAAAUCUGAUUCCAAACAGAAAGAGGAAAUAAAGUUUAUGAUGAAAAAAGAGGACCAAAAUUCUCUCAGAUAAUCACCCUUUAACCCCAAAUUUUUACAAUAGAAAAGGUUAUUUAAAAUCUUUAUUCUCUUAAUUACAUGGUACUUUUUCUAACUUCUUCUCAAUCUUGUGCGCAGCAAAGCAUCACAGGAUCAGUAUAUCUGCUCCUCCAGUGAGAACCUGUUGCCAACAGAAUUAGACCGUGACAUGCCAAGGUACCUCAGCUUAAAUGGCACCCUCAGACCUUCAUCUGCCAAGCCUCUGCCCUAGCAUGCGCCAAGGUGAGCUUGAUAUCACCCUAAGCCUAGCGUGUUCUUCAUUUAUUUUCCUACUAAAUAAAGUAAAGAAAAGAAAAGGAGCGAGAGGUAGAAGGAUGCGGUUUUCACAAAUAAAACAAGGAGGAGAUCAAGUAAAUCAAGAAAACAAGGGCUACCCCAUCUAUUCCUUUUGCAGAGGAAGCAGGAAAGCAUCAACUCCACUGCUCGAUAGCCUUCUCCCAACUUUGUAUGUAGCAUAAGCAUCAGUAGCUGCAGACUCAACCUGCUCAAGACUAGGAAAACUAUCAGACCUAAUCGUCCAUAUCGACAGUAAAGACCUUGGCAGAAUCUCAAUGGACAGAACUUUACUAGCCAAUUCCCUUCCGCCGUAGGCACUAAGCUCAGGCUGACCAAGAACUUUAGCAGACACAUCACUGAGAUCCACCGCGUUCCGAAUUAUUAUCCCAUAUUCCUCUCUCAGGUUCUGAAGGUCUUCUUUCAUUCGAACCCCAACAAACAUGAUAUCUUUAACAGCAAAAAAUCGUUUUAGAGAGUCAGAAGCAGAAGCAGAGUUUUCAAGCCUAAUAAGCACACAACCAAAUGCUGAGCGCAGCUUCAGUAGGCCAACGCAGGGUCUGUAUUCAGUUCUGAAAACUCCAAGUUUGAUCUCUUUCAUGCACCAUUCUGUGUCAAGCCCGAUAACCAUAUCCCCACUUUCAACCGCAUACUCCAAUAGUUGAUAAAUAUAAAGGUGUGAAUCCUCACCAGGUACCAGCUCAGUCACCAAUGGGGUGCCAUCGCUCAUUGGUAAAACCAGUGACAUUUUUGGUGGGCACGACAUAGUUGAGAAAGAGAUAUCACCAAGGAAGCGGAUAAAGAAAUGAUCAAGAGGGAUUAGCUAAAAGCAAUACUAAAUAAAUUAAAAAGCUUGCCACGUUGAUUCUAAUUAAAUGGUUUCUUAUGCAACAAUGAAUGUCCACAAUUGCACCAGGCCGUGAGCGGUGGGAACUAAUAACUCCGUUCUGCUUUGUGUUUCAAGGCUUAAUCUGAUGGAAGAAUAUACGAGAUUUGGCUGCAAUUCCACGCAAGGCUUUCCUUUGUGAUAGUGAAGUUAGGGAAAGAGGUUCAGAUUGAAAUCAGUGGUUCUUAUUGUCUGCCAUUAUAUUAACUAGUAACACAGUUAAUUUUGUAUCUCGUAAACUUUUGUGAUCAAGAAGAAACAAAUGCAAAGAUUAUAUUCCUUAAACACACCACAUUUGUUGGAACCUGCAGACAGUUUUGAGGGUUGAAGGUUUAUUGGAGUUUCUCGACCUUGGAAGCGUAAGGGUUGGUCUUCCAUCUUCUCUUGGUCUGACAAAGUUUUAGACUCAAAUCGCCUUCUACCUCUUAAUCAUGUUCACCUCUUCUUCAGAAAAUCUGAUAGCAACUAGGGACGUAGUAAUUACAUCUGUAUAAAAAAUAUUGGAAGAAACAUCCUCAGAAAUUUUGACACUAUUAAAGAAUCAAAUUUCAAACCAGCAUCGGGCAAUGUUGUUUACAAGCACAUCCUUCAGAUGCUUUCUGGUAGCCUUGCGACCUAAUUUCAUAACCCUGUAACUAACGCAGAUAUUACCUUUAAACUUCAAAAAAAAAUUCUAAACAAACUCUUUUUUGGAAACGCAUUUAUUCCUUAUUCAUCAACAGAGGUUUUCAACAUAUCACAAAAAUAAUACAUGAAUAAACAAAAAGAAGCAUGCAUUGAACAAGCUACUGAACCAUCUUAGUUUUUUAGUGUUAGUUAUCCCACCUACGUUUAGGGCCACAAGAACCCACUAAAGAGAAAAGAAAAUUGUCCCUUUACCAGCUAUCUUCAAAUAUAAACCAUUUCCAAUCUUGAUUUGAGCUGUAAAACUCUUGUCAAUAUCAAGAAACAACUUUUCAUAUGCUAUGAGAUGAUUAUAACAACCACUAUCCAGCAACCAUACACUGUCUUUACCAGAGUCAUUCCUCAAUUUGGCCAUGAGCAACACCUCAUCAGCUUCUUUUGUCUGCUCAGCCACUACAGCCUUGUUCUCCUCACUUUUCUUUUUAUUCUUGCAGACCUUUUCAACAUGACCAAUCUGAUCACAGGGUCUACAUCUUGCAUUAGUCCUGUACCAGCAAUAUUUAGGAGUAUGAUUACACUUUUUACAGUGUGGACAUGGAGGAUACUUAUCCUUUGAUUUUCCUGACUUAUCAUCACUACUUUUACUCCCUUUAUACUUUUUAAAGCUCUCACCCUUAGCCCUCAAGCCUUUGGUUUUGGCAACCAAAGCAUUUUCUACAAGACUAUCACUUUUAAAGGCUCUUCUCUGCUUCUAAUUAGCUUAUUUGCAGAGAUCUUGGUCAGAUCUUUUCAAUCUUCCAUAGAGGAGAUUUUAGCCUCAAACCUCUCUGGAAUACUGACUAGUAUUUUAUUGACUAUUUUCUUCUCAGACACCUUUUCUUCCAACAUUCUAACGUAAGUCACAAGCCUCAACAACUUAUCAGUGUAAUCCUGUAUGUUUUCUUCCUCUCUCAUUCUUGACAAUUCAAAUUGUCUAGAGAGAUUUAGUACCUACAUUACUUCGGUGCGAUCACUUCCUUGAUACUCUUCCUUUAGGGUAUCCCAAACCUGCUUUGGAUCUUCAAAGUUCAUGAUCUUGGCAAAUAUAGCCCUAGAUACUACUAACUACAAGCAUAUAAGUGCUUUGUAAUGCUUUGCUACUUCUUCAGAAUGUUGUUUGGUUUUUUCUUAUUUGACCAAAUAAAUAAAAGUAAAGAAAAAUAUCCGCUCUCAAAGCCCAAUUACUUGGCCUAAUAUUUUCCCAAAUAGGCCUAGUACAAUGGCUGGUACAAGGCGAGGUUGGCCAGACAACCCAAUCCCUCCCUCAACGUCAGCUUCAGUGCUUCCCAUUCCCUUAAGGGCCAUUUCCACUAAAGCUUAGCUUAGUCCAAAACUCAUUCAGGCCAAGCCUACUUAAUAAACUAUAGCCUUCACGGUAUCUUCCCUCUGAUGAUGAAAUGAUUGAGGAAAGUAAUGGCUUAGGCAUGAAGCCAUGUGGGGGGCGCCUAAUCUUUGAACCCCAAAUUGGUUUAUCAAAAUGUAAACAAAUAUUCGUCAAAAAGAUGUACAAAAAAACAUCUAAGCACUUUCCAUGCAUGCCAAUGUGAGAAUGUCGCUACAAAAUAAUGGGGAUUUUGAGUACAUUUUUUUUUCUAAGGAAACUGCCCUUUGCAUUAUUUCCUUUUCAUAUAUUAAAGAAAAGGAAAAAAAGAGAGAAAGGUGGAAGGAUGCGGUGUUCCUCAAAUAAAGCUAAGUCAAAAACUAUGCCGAGGCCUUAGGAUGAGAUCAAGUAAAUCAAGAAAACAAGGGCUACCCCAUCUAUUCCUUUUGCAGGAAAGCAUCAACUCUCAGUGCCUAACAGCCUUCUCCCAACUUUGUAUGUAGCAUAAGCAUCAGUAGCUGCAGAUUCAACCUGCUCAAGACUAGGAAAACUAUCAGACCUAAUCGCCCAUAUUGACAGUAAAGACCUCGGUGGCAGAAUGUCAAUGGACAGAACCUUACUAGCCAAUUCCCUUACACCGUAGGCACUAAGCUGAGGCUGACCAAGAACUUUAGCAGACAAUUCACUGAGAUCGACCGCGUUCCGAAUUAUUAUCCCAUAUUCCUCCCUCAGGUUUUGUAGGUCUUCUUUCAUUCGAAUCCCAACAAACAUAACAUCCUUAACAGCAAAAAAUCGUUUUAGAGAGUCAGAUGCAGAAGCAGAGUUUUCAAGCCUAAUGAGUACGCAGCCGAAUGCUGAGCACAGCUUCAGUAGGCCAACGCGGGGUCUGUAUUCAGAUCUGAAAACUCCAAGUUUGAUCUCUUUCAUGCACCAUUCUGUGUCAAGCCCGAUAACCAUAUCCCCACUUUCAACCGCAUGCUCCAAUAGUUGAUAAACAUAAGGGAGUGAAUCCUCACCAGGUACCAGCUCAGUCACCACUGGGGUGCCAUCGCUCAUUGGGAAAACCAGUGACAUUUUUGGUGGGCACGGGCACGACAUAGUUGAGGAAGAGAUAUCGCCAAGGAAGAGGAUAAAGAAAUGAUCGCGAGGGAUUAGCUAAAAGCAAUACUAAAUAAAUUAAAAAGCUUUGCAAAUUGAUCCUAGCUAAAUGGUUUGUUGUGCAACAAUGAAUGUACACAACUGCACUAGGCCGUGAGGGGUCGGAACUAAUAACCCCGUCCUGCUAAGUGUUCAAGUCUUAAUCUGAUGUCAGAAUAUACGAGAUUUGGCUGCAAUCCCACGCAAGGCUUUCUUUUUUGAUAGUGAAGUUAGGGGCCCCGUCCUGCUUAGUGUUCAAGUCUUAGUCCGAUGUGAGAAUAUACGAGAUUUGGCUGCAAUCCUACGCAAGGCUGUCCUUUUUGAUAGUAAAGCUAGGGGAAGGAGGUUCAAAUUAUAAAUUUUAUCCCGUUUUAUUUUUAUAUGAUUUAUUACUAAUUAUAAAUUUUAUAUUAUAUAAAAAUAUUUCUUAUAUUUUUAAAAAUUUACUUUUAAUAAAUAAAAAAAUACAAUUUAUUUUUUUUUCAUUGUGAAUGAAAGAAUUUGUAAUCAACAAAAAGUUAUUUAUUAAAUAUCUAUGAUAAAUUUAAUAAAAAUUAGAACUUAUAUAAAUUGUUUUGCCAAAUAGUUCACCUAUAAAAAAGAGCUUAUAAAAAUAAAUUUAUCAAACAAAUUUAACUUAAUUUUAAAAAUUAUUAUUUUUUAUAAAAAUUUUAUAAUAAUUUUUAAAUUAAAAAAAAAUUAAAUCAAACAGGCUUUUAUUAAUAUGUAUCAAAAGUUUAAAGGUUUGAUGGUGCAGCAUGCAGUGGGUUUCGUUUAGUAUUUUUGGGGCUUUAGCUCUGCUUGUGUUUUUUAUUUUGAUUUUCUAGUUCAACACUGCUUGUUGUAUAGCUAUUGGAAAAGGGUUUUUGGGUUCUUGUUUCCACCAUGCUAGCUCUUUGUAUUUUUUUCAGCUUUCUAAAAAAAAAAAGUUUUAAAUUUUUUUAUCAAAUAUUGAAUUUUAUUAAGUAUCAAAUUAAGAUAAAAUACUAUAUUCACAAAUCUCAUUUUAAAAUUUUAUUAGAUUUGAAGUUUUUUUGCUUUUUUGUUAAAUAUUAAAUUUUAUUAAGUUUAGAAGGAAAUAUGAAUUGAUUUUUUUAAGUAAGUAUUUAUAUCAUAAAAUAUUUAUAUAGUAUUGGAUAUAAUUUUUUUAAAAUGUUUUAAAACAAGAGGGAUCAAAACAUUUUUAGAAAUGUUUUGAAGAGUUUUUUGGAUUUUACUCAUAAUUUGACAAAAUCGAUCUAUCUAUGUAUUAUUAAAUAAAAUACUUAAAAUAUAUAUUAAUAAUUUUAAAUAAAUUUUAUAAUAUAAUAAUAUCACAAAUCUAAUUGAAAAAAUCUUAUCUAAAACUCGAUUUGAGUAAGUUAAGCCCAUGAGCUACCCAAUCAUUCACAAGUAAUUGAUCAAAUUCAAAUUUAUAAAUAUUAGACAGAUUUCUUAGUGUCCGUUUGGCAUAAUUUAUUUUUAACUUAUUUACUACUUAAAAGUGAAAGUUGGGCCAAAUAGGAUUUCGUGAAAAGCUCUUAAAAAAAAUAACUUUUUUUCUAAAUAAUAAAAUCUAAAAAAAAAGAGUUUAAAAAAAAUUCCAAUUAAGAGUUUUAUCUUCUCUUAUUAUGAAAGUUAUUUUUUUCCAAAAAAAUCCUCUCUCAAAAAAUACUUCCUCCCGCUCUCUCUAUCGAUCUCCGUCUUCUCUCUCCCUUUUGUAAAUUAUCAUUCUUGGGUUUUUUUUGUUCUUACAAAAAUUAAGAAAAAAGAAGAUCCAAAAUUCAAAACUGCAUUCAGGUAUUGUUUUUUUUUCUUUUUAUUUUGUUUUUCAUUUUAUUUUCAAUCGUUUUUUUUAAACUUUGAAAACUCUUUUUAUUAGUUGAUAUUUCUCAGUUUAUUAUUUGAUAUGAUAAUUAUAUGAUGUUAUUUAUUCUUAACUUCUUUAUGAUGUAUAUAAUAUUUGAUAAUUAUGAUUGAAAUAAUUAAUCAAAUAAAUCAAUAAUUGUUGAGAUAAAUUAUAUGAAAAUUGAGAUAAUAUUUGUUGAUUAUGGUUGUUGAGAUAAUAUUGUUUAUGGAGGUGAACUUUAUUAGUA